rnacentral:lncRNA from 1 species
ACUAAACCGGAAAAAAAAAAAAAAAAAAAAAAAAAAAAAAAACCCCAAAGACAAUUUGCUUAAAGAUCAAUACCUUUGGUUGUAUAGGAGCUCCAUUUGCGAUCUGUUUGGGAGAAUGAGAUUUUGGCAUCGACUCAAUUGGAGAAUAAGCCCGGAGAGAAGGAAGAGAUGGAAGUUUAGCAGAAGGCCUAGAUGGGUUCUCAUGUUUGCAGGAGACUGAGUUGACUCGCCUGGACUCAAGGCGUGGAAAAGGGAGGAAGCCGAGUUUAGGGGAGUCGAUUCGCCCGAGUCUAGGAAGAAAGGGACAGGGUUUGAGGUUGAGUUUGAUAGAAGUUGGAGAAGAAGAGUAUAGAAGCCUCUCCAUGGCCUCUCUCUCUCUCCUCUUUGUCACUCUCUGUUUGUGCUUUUUGUGGAGAGGUUUUACAGGGAAAGACUUUGAGGGAGACAAAGAAGGUGGGUUGGUGAGGAUAGCGUUUUGGCUGAGAGGGUUAACGGAAAAUUGAAAAUUCGGAUAUUUUCAAAAUAAAGUAAUACUGUUAAACAGUUUUUUUCUCUUUCUGUGUUUGAAGAAUACUAAAAGCUCUAAUAAUUGAUUUUAAUUUUUUAAUUUUAAUGUUUAACCAUGAUUUUUUUUAAAUUUUUAAUAUUAAAUAUAAAUAUGACUAGUAAUUAUCAUAAUAAAUGAGUUUAAAUAUUAGUAAUUUAAUAUUAUAGUUUAAAUGCACUUUUUUUAUCUAUUUUAAUGUUUCCUCUUUGUUUCAGUUUUUAUAUAUAUUAGUGCUUUUAUAACACAUAUUGCAAGUUGUCGUUAUUUGUUUUUUACUCAUUAUGCUCGUUCAUUAUUAUUUGUUAUAAUAUUAAGAUUUGUUAUAAUUUUUUUCAUAUUUUUUUAGAUUUUUAUAUAACGUAAAUAAAAUGACUAAAUAAUCAUAUUUUAUAUAUAUGUACUUUAAUUCAAUUUAUAAAUCUAACAUGUAUCUACAUUGCACUUUAACAGCACAUAGUACCACAAUGCUACUCAAUAAGUACGUUGUAAUGUAUAUACGUGUACGUAUACAAAUUUCUCCAUAUAUUUAAGAAUUAAUAACAUAUUCAUUUUUUAUCUAGCCAAACAAUUUUAAAAGGCAAUAUAUAUAUAUAUAUAUAUAUAUAUAUANNNNNNNNNNNNNNNNNNNNNNNNNNNNNNNNNNNNNNNNNNNNNNNNNNNNNNNNNNNNNAUAUAUAUAUAUAUAUUAUUUCUCUCCUAAUUAAAAACCUUUAAAUUAUAAUCAAAUAUUAAUUAUAUAUUUUAACUGGUAUUUAAAUUAAAAUUUUUAAUUAAAUAUUUUAAAUUACAAUCAAAUAUUAUAUAUGAAUUUUUAUUUAUUUGAUUUUUUAAUUUUUUUCUUAUUUCUCUCCUAAUUAAAAUAUUUUAUUGUAUUAUAUAUAUUGUUAUAUUAAAAUUUUUGUUCACCAUAUCAAAUAUUUUUAAAAUAUAAUUAUUAUAUAUUUGUUAAAAUUUAUGUACUCAUCACGCUCUAGUAUCUUUUAAAUUAUAAUCAAAUAUUAUAAUUAAAUAAUAUAUAUUUUUAAAUUAGAUAUUUCUAAUUACUAUUUAAAAUAUCUUAAAUGACGAUGAAAUAUUAAAUUUAAACUUUUAUUAUUUUUUCUUUUUCCUUAUUGUUCUCCUGAUUAAAACCUUUUAAUUAAAUUACAAUUAAAUCAAAAAAAUUUUUAUAUUUUUUAAGUUAAAAAUUUUUUAAGUUAAAUUUUUAAUCAUGAAAUACUAUUAUGUAUGUUAGUGCAAAUUUCAAUAUUUUAAGAAAUCUCAUUAUGUUUCACUUUUUUUAUAUAUUUAUAUACAGUAUUUAUAGAGAAAUUAUUAUUAUUAUUAUUACUCCAUUAUUUAUGGCUUUGAUGCUUAUUAGUUAUGAUAGUUGCGUGGCCCAUUAAAUUAUCGUUGACUAUACUAAAAUAAAGUAGCGGUUUCUGUUUGGCCACAACAAACCCUUAUAAUAAUCAGGUCCCUCCCGAUGGUUUAUGGUUUAUAUAUUUUGUCAUGUAAAUAUAUACAAAUGUAAAGCUAUCUUAUUUAGGGUCUAUCCACGGCACUAGUUGUUAUAGAAGUUGUUAGUUGUUUUAGGAGCCGUUAACCAUUAGUUAUUUAUAUAGUAGUUAAAAUAAAAGUGUUUGCUAAAAAAAUAACUGUUUGAUUAGCUGUUAUAAAUCAAAUGACAAAAAAUGACAUUGAAAUGUUGACUUUAAAAAUUGAUAUAUAUAUAUAUAUAUAUAGAGUAGCAAGUGUUUUUUUUCUUUUCUAAAUUAUUAUCAUUUUUUUUUUUAUAGCAAAAGAUUAUUUCUUAUAGAAUUGAAAUGAAAAAACUAAAAAAUUAUUUCUUGUAAUUUUUAUUUUAAGGUAAUAAGAAAUAACAAAAUAGAAUAAUUAAAAAUGACAUGUGAAACGCUAAAUGUUUGGAGAUUUAACAUUUAAUGAAACGAUGCCUAAUUUCUAAAUGUUAAUAUAAAUAUUAUAUUACCGAAAGAUGUAAUUAAUAGAAUAAUGUUGUUGUCAAGUAAAUCCUUAUUCCGUUUGGCUGAUAUGAUUUUUUUUUUUUUUUUUUUUUACUUCAAAAAAUAUUUUGAAGCUUUCCCAUUUUCAUGUUGAGUUGAAGCUUUCAUUCCACGAAAGAAUCAAAGUUCAGAAAUAUAAGUUUUUAGUUUAUCCCUUAAAAACUCCAUUUUUUAAAGUUAAAUAAUAGUUUAUUAAAUUUUUAUACGGAAAAGAGAAAGUUAAAACAAUGAAAUUAGGCUUCAAAAAUAAAAAAUUUUUUAAUUUUUUAAAAUUUUUCGAAACAUAUCACAAUCAGUUCAAUUUAAAUAAUUCGAAAUUGAUUGCUAAAUCAGACGUAUGGACUGCUGAAUUGAUUUAAAAUCAUAAAAUUCAUAAUUCCUAUUGACAUUUAUAAUCAAUAAUACCAUUUAGAGGGAGACCUUCAAAUUGCAUAAUUAAUUUAUUUUUUUUUUAUUUAUUGAAAGGCUUAACGGGUCAAGUUAAUACUGUGAGCUACACAAUAUAAAUAACAUUCCUCUGAAUUAACCAAAUUGGUAAAAACACUUAUAAUCGGGAGAACUCGAACUCGAAACCUCUCACUUCGUAUAAAUGAGAAGAUCAAUAAUACCACACUCCUAAUCGGUAUUAAUUUUUUUUAACAGCAUAAUUAAUUUCUUAUAAAAUGAGAGAGAUAUAAUAAAUAAGCUCUAAAUUAAUAAUUGAUACAAUGAGCCCAAAAGCGAAUUUGUCGAGGUGGCUAAUAGGAUAACAGAUAGAUUCAAUUACUUGGAGGUUUCCAAUUGUGAGAACAAAAGCUUUGAAUAUAUCAAACAGGAUAACUUAUCCGGUAGCCAUUUUUUUCAAAAAAAAAAAAAAAAAAGUGCAUAAAUUAAAAAGUCCACAUAUUAACACGUCAAACUUUGCGGUUGCGCUCACGCUAACACGCAUUCUCAAGGCGCCUCCUUGCGCUCGGCACACGCACCCAAUAGAUACUCCGCACGUUCAAUUUAAGAAGGCAGUGGACAGUUGUCCAUAUUAAUUCAAUUUUAAGAGCGAACACACUUGUCUACACCAGCUGUAUUAGCACAUCAAUACAAGAAAUAAAUAAUUAGUUGCGAUUUGAAAAAAUUAUUUUAACUAUUUUGCAGAACCGCAUAACACCGGUUCAAAUCAAAUCAAACCGAUGUUAAAUUGUGAUUUUAAAAGUUAGUGAUUUGAUUUGUAAAAUUUAAAGAUUUAGGUUUUAGUUAAAUUUAUGGUUUUAUAUUUAAAAUUGUGCAAAUCGCACCAAAAUGUUUUAUAUCUAUAAAAACUUUUAAAUGCUAAAUAAUUUAGUUUAAUUUUUAAUGAAAAAUUUCUCUGCAUUGCUUAGUUUGUAUUGCAUAAUAAUUAUAUAUAAUUUCAUAUCAUUUAAAUAAGUUAUAUAAUUAUAUUAUUUGUAAGUUCAAAUGUCAAAUAUUUUAAAAUGAUGACUAUUCACUGCUUAGUUUUUUUUUUUAAUAUUUAAAAAAAACUAAAAUAGAUACACUCAUUAUCUACUUUUCUUUUUCACUUGUUUCAAAUUAUAAUAUUUUUCAAAAAAAUAAUAAUUUUUGUAGUUUAUUAUUUUAUCUCUAUUUAAUGUGUAUUUCUUCCAACAAAUAUGCCACUAUUAUAAUUAGCUAAAUCUUGAAAUAAACAAAACAAGGUCACUAUUAUUGUCACAUAUAUUAACCAACCUAUUUUUAAUUACAUUUAUUCUUGUAUUAAAAACUUACUGGUAUUAGAACCCGCGCGAUGUAUGAAACAAUAUUAAAUAAUGAAAUAACAUCAUUCAAAAAUGAUCGUAAUCAAAAUUAUAUCUCAUUAAGAUAUGCAGAAAAUGUUGGAAUGCUAAGAUGUGUCUUUUUAAGUAUCCUCUAAAGCAUUUCACUAUGAUAUGUAAAAGUAAAAGUUAUACAUGGUAUAACCUGUAUAAAAAAAUAUACACACUAUUAAUUUAUUUUUAAAUAGUAAUAGUGAUUUUGGGAAUUUAACUAAUUAUAUUGAAAUAACAAAUUAAUUAUUUUUUAUAUUAUGUUUAUAAUUUAUUGUAAAUGAUUAUUUAUUUAUUUAAAAUAUUAAUGUAUUAGACUUAUUUAGUGUAAUGUGUCAUGCGCGUGUGGAUGUCAUACUUUUUUAAAAAUAAUCGUAUCUCGUACGUUCCUGCAUCUCGUAUCCUGUGUUCCGUGUCUGUACAACUUAACUCUUGGUAUAUGAGACUACUAUAUACACUAAGUCAAUCAACUAAGGUUAUUUUUUAUUAGCAAGAAAAAAUAAAGUUUUUUUUAAUUCAUUUUUGUGUCCUUUUUUUUUUAUUAAUGAAUGAUCACAAACACUGUUGUUACAACUAAAAAUAUAUUUCGAUAGUCUUGGUAAGUCAUUAGUUUUUGUCAAACUCUAUAAUUAUUUCCAUCAAAGAGAGAUAUUUUAAUGAAAACUGAUAAAUAAAUUGAAAUGAGAGGAUGUUAGCUUUAGGCUCCAUAUUGAUAAGAUUGGCCGAUAAUUUAACUAAUUAUAUUGAAAGAAAAAUUAAGUAUUUUUUUUAAAUUUGUUUUAUCUUUUUUUUUUUAAAAAAAAUAGUUCAACAACUUAAUUUAGAAUUAUAAUAUUUGUCAUUUUAUAAUUCAAAAUACUGCUAAGUGGUAAAUUGUACUAUUUACAUUUGGUUUUCAUAUAAAGAAAACUACUCUCCUUUUAUAUAUUAUAUAAAUAAAUUAGGUCUGGCCAAUACUUGAUAUUUUUCAAAACUAAAUUAAGAAAAAAUAAGAAGAAACUAAAAUUUAUUUCAAAAAAAACUUAUAUUACUUAAUUUUUUAUAUAAAAGAAAAUAAAAUUAAUUUUUCUCUACAAAUUUAUUUAUAGUUUUUUUAUUUUCUUUCUAAUUUGAAGAGAAAAUUAUCGAAAUUCUUUUUCCUUAUAUUCAUUUCUUAUUUUCAAAUUAAAUAAUUUUUGCUUAUUAAUAUUAGUUUAGCUUUCUUUUCUCUUCAAUAUUAUUUGAAAAUAUAAAACAAUUUAUUUCCUUACAAUAGUUUUCAUUAGAACUAAACUCUUUAUAAUUGUGCUAAAUAACUUUACAUUUGGCAAUUGGCAAUUUGAGAUUGACACUUGUCUGUCGUUUAAAAUAUACUGCGUUAAUUAGUGUUGUGAUCUAUCUUUUAGGGCCAGAUUGAUAUUAAGAUUUGGUAAGUUUAAAGCGAUGGAAGUCCAUAAUAAGUCUAACCUAGUAACCUACUAAACAAAUAAUAGCAAAAUCCAUAUAUCAUUUGGGCCUUAGGCCCACUAUCCAAGCAGUCUCUAUGACAGAUUGCCAUCGAUAAAUAUAUAUCCAUAGUUGUGAUACUCAGCUCGAAUCAAUUUACAUAACCAAUAAGAUACUUAUUUCACAGUGAAAAUUUUAAUGGAGGCUCAACAUCCUUUAUUCGUUCAGUAAUAUUACAAAUACUCACAUCACACUAAUUACUUUUAACUAAUACAAUCGCUUCUCUUCUUUUUUUUUUUUUUUUAUUCAUACAUUUCAAUUUAAACUACACUUUCGCCGUUAAACUACAUCUAUGGCUUUAUUUGCUUCCAUAAAAUAACUUAUCAUUAUUAUUAAUAUUUUUUAUAGUCUUAUGAGACAAAGACUUUAAUAUUUUUAACUAUAUUAUAACUAAACAACGAAAAAUAAAUCACUUGGAAAAUAUUUGUCACUUGAAUUGGAAAAUAUAUUGUUUAGCAAGUUAUUUUACGGAUCAUCUAUUAAAAUGAUGUAGCAUGAUUACUCAUGGACCCUAGCAUGUUACUUACCAAUUGAAAUCCAAGAUGAGCCUUGAUUCAAAUCUCUGCUACUGUUAGAACAGGUAGAUUAAAAGCGAUGUGAAGAUCUUCUGCUUCACGUCCUGUGACUUUUAAAUACCAGAGUUUUGGGGACUGGCUUUGAGCGAGUGUGAGCCAAUGCAAAUGUCUAACCUUGAUAGGAAUUUUGAGACCUUAUAAGCCCCAGCUCUCUCCGAACCCUGACAAGCAAAGAGAAAGAUAUGUAGAGAGUGAGUUUCGAGGAUGAGUUCACUCGAAUGUGGUUAAGUCGAAAUUCAAACUAUUUGGAGGGUGUGAUCAAAAGGAGAGAGAAAGAAGACAACAACAAAGAGGAGGAUGAUCGAAGUAAAGAGGAGGCAACGACGGAGGAAGAUGAGGAAUGGAUGUUGAGGUGGCUGUAGUAGGGCAAAAUGAUGACAUUUGGGGAAAAGAGUGAGUUUUGAGCCCUUGGUGUGUUUUAAUAUUCAAGUUAAACUAAGGAUAGUCAUAGUAUAUGAAUUCUACUUUUACAAUAUUUUAUUUAAAACUCUAAGUUAAAUUUAAAAUUAAAGAAAAAAUAUACCUAAUUUUAUAAAUUGGAAUUAACUAAAGUAUAAAGAACAAAUAGGUCGAUUUGAAGCCUCAUUUCCAAUAUAUAUAUAUAUAUAUUUUUAUAACAUAGUUGUAAUGCUUUAAAAUAUAAUUUUUUUGAUAUUGCUGCACAAAUUUAUUUAUUGUUCUUAUUAAUUUAUAUUUGUUUCCCUCCAAAUUUUGAAAUCUAUUUCUACUUCCUAGGCAUGGUGGUUCAGGUUCGAGAUAUUUAAAAUUUUGAACUGGAAUCGACCCUUGAACUUUUGGUUCCGACACAGUUCAGGCGAACCGACAGUUUGAAUUACGGUUCCGAUUCGAUUCCGGCAUUACGCAAAUUUUUAAAAAAAUAAUAAAAUUUUGAUUUCGAAUUCAUAAUAAAUAAUAAUUUUAAAAUGUUUCAAUUUUAUUAACUAAAUAAAUUAUUAUAAAAUUUUAAAAGAAAAACUUCUAUUAACUAACUUAGAACUAUUAUUACAUUAAAUUUACAAAUUUUGCUAAUUCACUAAUAUAGAAAACCAUAAAUGGAAUGAGUUGGAAAUUAUUAUUUUCAAAUACUAAGAAAAUUAUUAAAAAAAUUAAAUGAAGUAAAUUUAUGAAUGGAAAAAAUUGAGAUUAAAGAAAGAAUUUGGAAUUGGAUGUAAGAAAAUAAAAAAUAAAUAAUAGAUAAUUCCAAUAUUAAGGAAAAUAAAGCAAUAGAAAAAAUAAUGAACUAUGGAAAUUUGAGAGAAUUUUGAUUGAGAAUAAGAGAAGAGUUGAGAUAUAAUUGGUUGUGAAAUAAAAAGUCAUCAACUCAUCAUAUUUAUACAUGUUUCUCAUUUAUUAGUUUCCCAAAUUGUCCCUUAUAACAGAAAAAUAACAGCUAUAUUUUUGGAUAAUUUAGUAAAUUACAGUAAAUAAAUAAAUAAAUNNNNNNNNNNNNNNNNNNNNNNNNNNNNNNNNNNNNNNNNNNNNNNNNNNNNNNNNNNNNNNNNNNNNNNNNNNNNNNNNNNNNNNNNNNNNNNNNNNNNNNNNNNNNNNNNNNNNNNNNNNNNNNNNNNNNNNNNNNNNNNNNNNNNNNNNNNNNNNNNNNNNNNNNNNNNNNNNNNNNNNNNNNNNNNNNNNNNNNNNNNNNNNNNNNNNNNNNNNNNNNNNNNNNNNNNNNNNNNNNNNNNNNNNNNNNNNNNNNNNNNNNNNNNNNNNNNNNNNNNNNNNNNNNNNNNNNNNNNNNNNNNNNNNNNNNNNNNNNNNNNNNNNNNNNNNNNNNNNNNNNNNNNNNNNNNNNNNNNNNNNNNNNNNNNNNNNNNNNNNNNNNNNNNNNNNNNNNNNNNNNNNNNNNNNNNNNNNNNNNNNNNNNNNNNNNNNNNNNNNNNNNNNNNNNNNNNNNNNNNNNNNNNNNNNNNNNNNNNNNNNNNNNNNNNNNNNNNNNNNNNNNNNNNNNNNNNNNNNNNNNNNNNNNNNNNNNNNNNNNNNNNNNNNNNNNNNNNNNNNNNNNNNNNNNNNNNNNNNNNNNNNNNNNNNNNNNNNNNNNNNNNNNNNNNNNNNNNNNNNNNNNNNNNNNNNNNNNNNNNNNNNNNNNNNNNNNNNNNNNNNNNNNNNNNNNNNNNNNNNNNNNNNNNNNNNNNNNNNNNNNNNNNNNNNNNNNNNNNNNNNNNNNNNNNNNNNNNNNNNNNNNNNNNNNNNNNNNNNNNNNNNNNNNNNNNNNNNNNNNNNNNNNNNNNNNNNNNNNNNNNNNNNNNNNNNNNNNNNNNNNNNNNNNNNNNNNNNNNNNNNNNNNNNNNNNNNNNNNNNNNNNNNNNNNNNNNNNNNNNNNNNNNNNNNNNNNNNNNNNNNNNNNNNNNNNNNNNNNNNNNNNNNNNNNNNNNNNNNNNNNNNNNNNNNNNNNNNNNNNNNNNNNNNNNNNNNNNNNNNNNNNNNNNNNNNNNNNNNNNNNNNNNNNNNNNNNNNNNNNNNNNNNNNNNNNNNNNNNNNNNNNNNNNNNNNNNNNNNNNNNNNNNNNNNNNNNNNNNNNNNNNNNNNNNNNNNNNNNNNNNNNNNNNNNNNNNNNNNNNNNNNNNNNNNNNNNNNNNNNNNNNNNNNNNNNNNNNNNNNNNNNNNNNNNNNNNNNNNNNNNNNNNNNNNNNNNNNNNNNNNNNNNNNNNNNNNNNNNNNNNNNNNNNNNNNNNNNNNNNNNNNNNNNNNNNNNNNNNNNNNNNNNNNNNNNNNNNNNNNNNNNNNNNNNNNNNNNNNNNNNNNNNNNNNNNNNNNNNNNNNAAAAAACUAUAAAUGGAAUAUAAAAUUAAUGGAAUGAGUUGGAAAUUAUUAUUUUCAAAUACUAAGAAAAUUAUUUAAAAAAUCAAAUGAAGUAAAUUUAUGAAUGGAAAAAAUUGAGAUUAGAGAAAGAAUUUGGAAUUGGAUGUAAGAAAAUAAAAAAUAAACAAUAGAUAAUUCCAAUAUUAAGGAAAAUAAAGCAAUAGAAAAAAUAAUGAACUAUGGAAAUUUGAGAGAAUUUUGAUUGAGAAUAAGAGAAGAGUUGAGAUAUAAUUGGUUGUGAAAUAAAAAGUCAUCAACUCAUCAUAUUUAUACAUGUUUCUCAUUUAUUAGUUUCCCAAAUUGUCCCUUAUAACAGAAAAAUAACAGCUAUAUUUUUGGAUAAUUUAGUAAAUUACAGUAAAUAAAUAAAUAAAUGAUUAAAAAAUAAAUAAAAUUUAUUUACCAAAAAAUAAAUAAAAACCACCUAUCAUAUAAAAAAUUAUCCGUUACACUCUUUUUUUUUUACAGUUGAAAGUAUUUUUUUUUCACCACUUUUUAUAACUUAUAUAUCAUUUUACUUCUUUUCACUAUAAAUCAAAUCAAGUGAUAUAAAUUUUUUUAUAAAAAUUUUAAGCUACAAUUUUUUGUGCAUCCGGUUCGAACGGGACCGGAACCGCCGGUUCCGGUUCAUAUUUUAACAUUGACAUGAAUCUUAACCGGCCCUUGAACCGUCGGUUUCUGUUCGAUUUCAAUUCGUCAACAGUACGGUUCGAUUCCGAUUAGAAUCGAACCGGUGGCAUGCCUACUACUUCCGAUCUAAGAUUAUUUAUUUAGUUUUAGAUGUAGCGUAUUUUUAAUUUUUUAUUACAGGUUCUUGUAAUAUACCUUGGAAAAAAAAAAAAGAACUUAAAAAACUAGUGCGUCUGACGCCGUAUUCUCUGUUUGGUCACUGAGUUGUCAAUUUGUUGAGGCAUGGUAAACCUGGCAUUAUAUAAACCAUAAAGGACCAAUAAGUAAUUCCGUACCAUCGCAAUCCAAAACCAAAAGGGGAAGGGUCUUCACGGAACCCCUAUAAAUAUCACAAUUUCCUCAAUUUCUCUCAUUUUUUCCGGUUUCACCUUUGUCCUUCCUCUUUCCCGCUCUCUCAAGGGUUAGGGUUUCUCUUUUUCCAAAAUUUCAAUCACAGUAACAAUGUCGACAUCCAAGAAAGUCACUCUCAAAUCGUCCGACGGCGAGACUUUUGAGGUGGAGGAAGCGGUGGCGGUAGAGUCGCAGACUAUAAAACACAUGAUCGAGGAUGACUGCGCCGACACUGAGAUACCGUUGCCUAACGUGACCAGCAAGAUCUUGGCUAAGGUCAUCGAAUACUGCAAGAAGCAUGUCGAGGCCGCCACUGCUGAUAAGGACAAGGAUAAGUCCUCCUCUGAUGAGGCUCUCACGACUUGGGACGCCGAUUUUGUCAAGGUUGACCAGAAUACCCUUUUUGAUCUCAUCCUGGUAAGCUUUUACUUUUCUUUUUAUUUCUUGCCUAGCUUUCACUUUCUUAUUUCUAAUCUUGAAUAAUUUGCUGUCUCUCUUAAUUGUGUGUUAUUUCUUCGAAUGAUACAGUAAGUUUUACUGACGUUGAAUAAUUUUACAAAUUCUCCUCAUAUUGAUUUGUGUUCGUUUUUUGUUUGUUGUGUUGCACUUAUGAGCCUAGAUGUUUGUGAGCACUUAGGUGAAAUUCAGGAUAUUAAUAAUCCGAUUAUGGUUUUUUUUUUUAGAUUAUCAGAAACUGGGUCUUAUUUGCAGUUAGAAUAUAUCUACGGGUAAUGGGUAGAUUAUCCAUACAAUUAGAGACGGGACUCAUUUGCGUUUUAUGUUAUAUGUUCAUUAUAUAAUUGCAAUUUUGUAAACUUUGUAAAUGGUUUGGGAUUCUGAUGAUAUUAAUGUUAUAUAGAAAAUAUAGUUUGGUGGAUUUCUUGUUGAUUGUACCUUUCUAUAUAUUGAUAGCUUCUGCUUUACUGUGUUUUUUAGUAAUAAACUAUGAAACAUGAACCUGAUUUCAAGUCAUGUGCUAGGAAAGGUGAUCUUUAUGUGUGGGGCUUUUACAUGGGUAACUGCCUUCUUUUUGACUUUUCUUUUAUAUGAUUCUGCUUUAUAGCCUUUUCUGUUUAAUUUGCUUUUUUGCUCACCUACUUUUAUCUAUUUGUGCAGAAUAUGUCUUUUACUUUGUGUAUUGUGUGUUAUCUUUCGUCGUCCUCGUUAAAGAUGAGUUGCAAUCACUCAUUUCUAAUUAUUUUUGCAGGCUGCUAACUAUUUGAACAUCAAGAGUUUACUAGAUUUGACUUGCCAGACUGUGGCUGACAUGAUCAAAGGGAAGACUCCGGAGGAGAUUCGCAAGACAUUCAACAUUAAGAAUGAUUUCACCCCAGAGGAAGAAGAGGAGGUUCGAAGGGAGAAUCAGUGGGCAUUUGAAUGAUGAAUGUAAAAUGUCCUUGCAAUGUGCAUAUGAUGGUAUGAUGAUAGGAAUGUCGAUAUACGAUAGGAUGCUGUUUUUGUUCUGUGUCUCUUAAUGUGGAGGAUGAUUGGAAAUUUCCUUUUUAUGGUUGACAGCAUGUUUCUUUGAACACCUUAUUCUAAUGUAAUAGAGUUGAUAUCUAAAUGUGCAUGUCUCAGUUGAUUAUUUUUUUUCGUUGCUUUGCUUUCUUCCUUCAGCUGGUUGCUAUGCAUUAUGAUAAUUGCAAAUUUUGUUCCUGACUGCUAAUUCACAGGAAUGUGAUUGUUCAAUGCAUGGUUUAGCUGAUGAUCAACACUAAGGAUGUAUUGUCUGCUUCUUUAAUUGCUGUCAUUUCUUGCUCGAAUAUGACAGGGUAUAUCAUAUGAAAUAGAUUUUUGAUUAAUCGUGCAAUUUACAUAGGAUAUAAUCAAUUGUAAAAUCAAUAGUUGCUUAUGAAAUAUUUAUUAUUUUUAUUGUAAACAAGGAAAUAUUGAAAGAAUAUCAUUUAUUACUUUUUGAAAUAUACAAAAUGACUUAUAUUUUGAAUCAAAAUAAUAAAUUAAAAAUGAUUUAUAUUUCGGAACAGAGAGAGUAAUCUAUAACUGCCAUCAAUCAAUAUCAACCGUUGAACUAAGUAGACCCAUAGUCUUUAUUGGUUUCAUUCAUUGCUCUUCGCCCCUUCUAGUCUUUAUUUUCUCUUUGGAACCAAUUCAGUUGUUUCCCCUUGUUUUAGGGGGGCCUAUUUUGGUAGAAUUGAGAGAUUCUUAAUAUCUUUUAACCAGUCUAAGGAUUUAUACGAUGAUGGUACAAAAAAAUUGCUUGGAUAUUUCCAUUUGAAGUUUAGAUGUUUUGGUACUAUGAAAGAUUGUUACUCGACUUAUUCCCUCCAUUCCGUUCGAAUUUGAAUGUUCUUAAUUUUUCAUAAGAAUUAAUGUUUAAAUCACCUUAAUUUUAAAAAAAAUAAAAAUAAUUAACUACUUUUUAAUUAAUGCUUAUUUAAUUGAAACAAAAUUUAUUGUAGGAAUUUUUUUUAGAAUAAAAUUUAUUAUAGAUAUUUAGACAAGAAUAAGUUGAAAUAAAAUAAUUAAUGAAAUAAAAUAAUUAAUGCUAUUUUGAUUUUCUAAAAGUGUAAUCUAAUACUACCUUCGUUCCAUAAUACUUGUUACAUUUGUGGUUUCAAGAAAUAAUAAAUAUCUUUCCAUGUUUACCCUUUGUAUAUGGCAAUAAUUAUUAUUUUAAUUUAAUGGUUUUUUUUUGAAAAAAUUAACAUUAAAUUAAGGAUAAUAUAGUCAAUUUACUCAAUAAUUGAUUAUAACUUAGACAAAUUUAAUGUUUUUCUUAAGGAAUGUGAAAUUCCAAAUGUUACAACUUCCUUUGUCCUAUUUAUAUAGAGAAUGUCAAAAUUUCUCUAGAAUUAAUGAGGUGGUCUUUUUGUGAAAUUCUUCCUAAUUUACCCCUAAAAAGAUAUUGAAGUGGUCCCCAAAUUUCAAUAAAAGGUGAUAAAUGAUGAGAGAGAGGAUAUGCUGCUUAAAUAAAGCAUUUUAUUUGUUUAGACUUUCAAUUGCAAAAAAAUGUAGGCCGAUUAAUUGCAAUUGCACACUAAAAUUUCAUUAUUAAAUUUGGCUUGAAAAAAUUAGCGUGGAAGUUGAAAGAAAGUUUGAAGCCAAAAUUUUCUACUUUAAAUUCUUUAUUUUGCUUCUCCAAAUUAACGUAUAAAAAAGUGAAAUUUUAAGUCAAAAGUUUUCAAAACUGAGUGAGUUCACAAUUUUAAAAUUUAAUCCACCAAUAUCAUGGACACAAUCCUUCAUUUUGAUUUGAAUACGGUCCCUCAAUAUUUGCUUGCAACUUCAGAAGAUGUGCCCAUAUUCAACAAUCAACCCUUAGAUUUGAUCUCCUUGUCAUUCACUCAAUAACCGCCUUCUAUAGAAUCUGAAACCACACCACCACCAAGUAACGUUCCAGAAGAGGUUCGAAAAGACAACAAAAGGAAAAACAUCAUUGAAAAUGUGAAAAAUACAGUUUGUAUAUUACUAUUUUCUGAAACUGAAAAGGGCGAGUCAAAUGCUCACAGUAUUCGUAAAGUUGCAGACAUUUUAUCCAUAUCUACUAAGACAAUUUACAGAAUUUGGCAUAACGUAAAAAAUAAUAAUUAUUUUUAUUUAAGCAAUGAAAUUAUGGUUUAGAUUUUGUAUCUCUUUCUUUAGCCAUUUAAGGAGUUCAUGAGAGUAAAUAUAAAUUGCCACAAAUAUUUUUAUUUAAGCACUGUCGUUUGGAGGAAAAUUUUCCUUCAUUCAGGAGCUGUGAGUAAAUUGCACUGUAUGUGCACACUUAAAUGUUAAGCAUAAGCUUCUUAGUGAAAUUUAGUCUGUGUGCAUAAUGUGCUUGAAUCCCAUAUUUUCUUAAUGCACAGUUCAGUCAAUUUUUGAACAUUAAAUGUCAACCACAAUAAUGUCUGCCACUUUCUUAAAAUACUAUUAAAGUAAAUGUUUAAUCUAUAAACUAAAGCAAGAGCAUAUUGGAUUUUUUGCUUUGGCAUUAGUCCCAAAUUACCAUAUUUGGAAAAUUUCUCUAUAUAAAUAGAACGUUCCAAAAGGAAAUUUUCUCUAUAUAAAUAGAAUGGAGGGAGUAUUAUAGAACAGAGGUAGUAAUAGUAAAUCAUAAAUUCUAACAGAUUUUUACUUUUAAAACUUUCAAAAAGAAAAAAAAAACUUUCAUUCAAAUCAAAAUCCUCAUUAUACUAUCUCUGUUCGAUAAUACUUGUCACAUUUAGAAUUUCACUUUUGUUAAAAAAAUAUUAAAUUUUUCCAAGUUACAAUAAAUUAUUGAGUAAAUUGAUUAUAUUACCCCUAAUUUAAUACUAAUUCUCCAAGAAAACCAUUAAAUUGAAAUAAUAGUUAUUGGUUAUAUACAAAGGGUAAACAUGAAAAAAAUAUUUAUUACUCUUUGAAACCACAAAUAUGACAAGUAUCUUGGAACAAAUUAUUUUCUCAAAUGUGACAAGUAUUAUGGAACAGAACAUUUAAUUUUAUGUAUAUGAGAAUCUGUUUCAUUUUUGCAACUAACUUUCAAAUGUUUUUUUACUAUAUAUAUAUAUAUAUAUAUAUAUAUAUAUAUAUAUAUAGAAACACCCCGAAUUUUUAUUUUUGAAACCUUUGAAUUUUUAUUAAAUUAAAAAUCAGAAAUUUUGACUAUGUGGGCUACGAAUAGAAUAUAGUCUCGAUUCGAGCUCAAAUUUGCCAGCUCAGCCCAAGCCCAAAAAUAUAUUAUCGGAAUCUUCGAUACAUUUAAUUUUAUGUAUAUGAGAAUCUGUUUCAUUUUUGCAACUAACUUUCAAAUGUUUUUUUACUAUAUAUAUAUAUAUAUAUAUAUAUAUAUAUAUAUAUAUAUAUAUAUAGACACACCCCGCGUUUUUUUUUAUCCAAAAAUCAAGUAUCAUUAUUAUUAUUGUUUUUAUUGUUAUGGAGUAAAAUGGAGAAAUGUUAUGGAAUCUAACUAAAUUAAUCAAAAUAAAUCGAACCGGGCCCGAAAUUCAAAUUUAUUUUUCGAAAACCACAUGAAUAACCUGAAAACCAAGUAAAAAAAACCUGCGAACCGAGCAAAAUCGAGCCAAAUCUUUGAAUCAGACCAAAUCGGUUCGAAUCGAACCGGAAUGAUCUAGAAAUCGACUUAGUUUCUUCUGUUCUUCCUCUCUUCUUCUUCUUCAGCACGCGCGACAGCCUCCUUCUCCUCCCUUUCCUUCUCAUUUCCGACCCUCGCUCGACGAGAGCGAGGUGGCGAUCGCCUUCCCUGGGGCCUUUAAUCCAUUUUCCCGCCUCCUUCCCCGCUAGCAGAGCCUCCAGUGGCGCGAACGAGACUGUCCCCGUCGACAGUUCUCGUUCUUCGAUCUCUGGCGAUACCAGGCGAUUCUGGCAAUGUGAAGCUUCAAGGUGAGCUCUGAUUGAUUCCUCUGUCUUGUGUGAACAAUUCCCAUCCAAGAAACGACGGUUUUGGUGGAAGGAACUGGAACCGCCAUGAAUAGCGGUAAGGGGCUGCUAUCAAGCUCGUUUCGACCAACUAGAGGGUUGAUCUCACUAAACCAACGCCGGAAAUGGAAUCCUUGCUGAAUUUCAAGUUGAAUGGUAUGAUCGUGGCGAAUUUCUGGGCAUUAUUGAUUUUCUGGCCACUGUAAACGGCGGAGGCGACUGCGUUCCGGUGACCGGCCGGCGAGACUCCGGCGAGGCACCAAGGACAGAAUUUUCCUCUCUUCGCGAGGAUUGUGGAAUCGUCACCCAAAUUUCAAUCGGUACGUUCUAAGACCAAUUUCCUAUUUUUGGUAUAAAUGCUUAAACUUAAUACUUAUUAGUUGAUUAAAUUAAAUUUGAAUGAAUAAUCAAUCAAAUAUAAUUUUUGCUAAGAAUCAAUCGAUAUAAUGUGGAUGCAAAUUAGUUCUGCAUAUUGUUAUAUAUAUUUCAUGAACAUUAGUUACAACUAGAAGGUUCGGUAUUAAGAUAAGAAUUCCUAGCUAAUAUUUAUGUAAGCUAAUUUAGGAAUUUUAAUAAAUAUUGGUAGGGGAGAGUUAUAAUUUAAGGCUUAGACAAGUAAAUAGUUUUAAAGCAAUUAAUAAUAUCAUUGAAUCAUGCUUGGAGGUUAAUAUAGUUUGUUAAUUAGUUAAUUUGGAACNNNNNNNNNNNNNNNNNNNNNNNNNNNNNNNNNNNNNNNNNNNNNNNNNNNNNNNNNNNNNNNNNNNNNNNNNNNNNNNNNNNNNNNNNNNNNNNNNNNUGGGUUGUGUGAAUUGAUUGAUCGAAUAAUUGAUAAAUAAGGUUAUGGCGGACGGGAUGAGUUGAUUUGAAUUGACCGACGGAUGGGCUUAGAUAUUAUAUUGUUGAAUUGUGGUUUAGUCAAAUUUUAGGGGAGGUGCUGCCGAAAUUUCAAUAGAAUCUAGACUAGUUUUAAUUAAUGACAUAAUUAAUAAGUUUAUUUAGAUUAAUUCUAUAACUUAAUACAUAAUAAAUAGAGUGCACUGAUUAUUUAUUAUCUUUAUUAUUCAUUUAAUUAUUUAAUUAUUUAUUUAUUUGCAUUGAUUUUGGAUGUUUAAUUAUGCAUUGCAUUACGAUGUUUAAUUGAUUAAUAUGUCUGCAUUUGAUUGCAAUGUUGGAUUAAUUGUGUUGUGAUAAUGCUAUGCUUUAUUUAUGUGGAAUUGGGAUGAAGUGGGUCACCAUGGGUUUGUGAGACCGUUACUGUUAUAUGGAUCCUGAUUACCGUUACCGUUAUAUACCGUUACUGUUAUAUGGAUCCAUUACCGUUAGCCGGGUAAAUGGCAGAUCGGCGCCCCCGUGUGCACCUACCGUUACCGUUACCGUUAACCAUAGGAUGACUGCUUGUUGUUGCGCACCUGAAAAUCUAGAUUUGAUCGCAGCCCGCAGGGUGGNNNNNNNNNNNNNNNNNNNNNNNNNNNNNNNNNNNNNNNNNNNNNNNNNNNNNNNNNNNNNNNNNNNNNNNNNNNNNNNNNNNNGGCCAGUAUGGGGGAUCGGCUCCCUAGUGCACAUGUGAGUGGAUGAGCCAUGUGGGAGGACGACUCAUCGGGGUUUCGGUGACACCGCUGACUAAUUUCCACGUGAUGUGAUUACAUGAAGAUGUUAACGAUUGUGGGUGCUGAUAAUAUGCAAUUUGUGUGAAUUCAUGUGUUGUGAAAUAGGUAUUCCUUCUUAGAAGGUUCACAUAUCUUGUUUAAUUUUUCAGGAAGUAAGUUUCUCUUCAAUUCGGUUAAGUUAUGUUCCUUUGCGCAGGGCUAGAAGAAAAUUUUUCCAGUUUCAUAAUUAUUUUGCUAUGUAAUUAUAUGUAUAAAAAACUAUGUAUACCAAAUAGUUAGUGACUCCGCAGUUGUAGAAUUUNNNNNNNNNNNNNNNNNNNNNNNNNNNNNNNNNNNNNNNNCUCAAUAUUAUUAAAUAUAUAUAUAUAUAUAUAUAUAUAUAUAUAUAUCAUCAUUCAUGGUUAUGGGAUUACAGUAUAUCUGUUUUGCAACGAAGAGUAAAGCUUAAUUAAUUUUUUAAAUACUUGCCUAAAUCAUUAAGAGCAAUCAUCAAUUAUAAAUUGAUUGCUAAUAAUUUAGCUAAUUUAAUUUAUUAAAUAAAUUUAAAGCGAAAAUUUUAACUAAAAACACUAAUCAAUAUAUAUAUAUAUAAUCUUGAAAAAAAAAAGAAUUUGACUUGACUCUCUCCAUCGAUCCUUCCUAUUUUUCUUUUUCUACAAAUUUUUGAAUUUUCUACUUUAUUUUUUGAAAUUUUUGAUAGGAUGAUUCUUGUUAAUGUUUUUAUAAUAAUAAAAAUUAAUCUAAAAUUAUUGAAUUUUAAAAUUUUUGAAUUUUUUUUAUCUAAAUCUAUGUAGCUAUAUGUAUAUAUCUAUAAAUACCUCCCACUUUCAAUGAUUUUUUCACAAUGGUCUGUCUUCAUAUUGAUUUGUUGUUUCUUUAGAUUAUUUUACUUUCAAUUUUUUGAGUUUUGAUUGUACUAUAUAAAUUUUUAUUUUUUUAUUUUAAUAUAUAUUGUUAUUAUUGUUUUUCAGAUUUUGAAUUACAAAAAGACGAUAUUAGCAAUUUCAAUCGAUAUAUAUCAUGUCUCUUCUUCUUCAAUUAAGUACAAUAAAUUAUAUAAUAUAAAGUAUGUUUAAUAGUAAAUUUUUUCUUGGUCUAUGUAGUUUUUAAGUUUAUGAAUGAAAUGUCAAUAUUUAUUUAUUUAUUUAUUUAUUUAUUAUUAUUAUUAUUAUGUCAUUUCUUUUAUCUGUUUUAAUUAUUAGGUAGGAGAUUAUUAUUAUUUACAUAAAUUAAAAGAAAAAAACAUUAAAUCCAAUAAAUACAUUUAAAAUAACAAAGAGAGCUUAUAAGAUAACAUCUAAUAAAUUAAAAAAUAAUAAAUUUAAUACAUUAAAAAUAAAUUUAGUUACCAUUUAUAUUUAAAAUGAUAUUCUUAUAUCCUUAAAAUUUUGUUUUUAUUAUUUAAAUAUUAAAAAAUUAUUUUUAACAAUCAUAUUUUAAAAUUAAUAGUCAUUGACAAUAAUUAUCUAUAUCUAUAUCUAUAUUUUAAUUUUAAAUUUUGAACAUUUUUGUCUUUUAUUAGAUCACUUAAGAUACUUUUUCUAAGUGUAAAAUUUAAAAGUUUUACUUAUUUAAAAUAAUUAUUUAAUUUAUAUUUGAAUUUUGAAUAUUUUUAAUUUUAUGUUAUGUCUAUGUAUUUAUAACGAUUAUCUGUUUUUAUAUCUAUGUAUCUUCAUCACCAUCAUACUUGAAGAUGAUCAAUAAAAAAAAUUGCAAGUGAAAUAAUUUUAUUCAUCAUCACCAUCAUACUUGAAUAUGAUCAAUUUAAUUUUCUAGCAAUAAUUAUAUGGUACAAAUAUCAUUUAUUAUUUAAUAUUCACUUUAUGAUUUUAAUUUUUUUAAAAAUAAUAAAUAAACUUGGUUUUUCUUUUAUUUGCAGUUGCAAAAAGAUUUGAAUAAAAGAAAUCAUAUAAUCAAUUGCCAAAAUUAUAAUAAUUUGCUUAAGUUGAAAAAUGAACAUAAUUCAUGUUUUUUCUAAAAAAAAAAAAGCCUAAUAAAAAGCACAAAAAUUUAAUUUUAUUAACACACAUAACAGUAAUUGAUAACUCAUCUAAAUCUAUUUUAUAAAAGAAAAUCAAAUAUCCCACGCUGCAGGCCUUUAUCUAGUUAAAAUAAAAUUCUACAAACUGAAAAAGGCAAUUAUGAAAGUUAAAAGUUAGAACUUAGAACAAAAAUUUUCAAACAAUCAUCUGCUUUAUAUAUAUAUAUAAGCCUAAAAAUGAUCACUUUGAGAAAAAAAAAAUCAAGAAGGAAUGUGAAUAAUUUCUGCUACAAAUUAAUAUGGUUAAAAAACAAAUCUAAAUAUUUAAAAUCUAAAAUCUACGUACACAUAAUCAUUAAAUGAUUUUGUAAUGCAAUAAUAAAAGUAAAAAAGGACUAUUAGCAAAAUAAAAAAUAAUUUUUUUUUGUUAAAAAAAAAAAAAUUAAAGUCAGACAACCUGCCUGUGAUUAAUUAGACAAAUAUUAAUUGCCAAUUAUUAAGCAAAUAAACUAAAAAUGUCUCCUUAUAACUAACUCUCAAAACAACGACGAACCAAUUCUCAAAAGAAUCUAAACCCUAACUUUAAUUAACUAAAUAAUAAUUCAUAUUAAAAAAAAUUAACUAAAUAAUAACUAUCCAGUGAAGUCAUGCAUAUAGCUCUUGUAAAGUUCAGCGGCAGCUUUAGCAGCACAAAGACCAGCAGUAAGAUUAAUCUUAUCAUCUUCUAAUCUUCUGCACUCUAUUUCCAAAUCAUUCAUAUGCUUACCCAAUUGCUCGAUAACCGAGCUUUGCCUCCCAACUUCUGCAGAAAGAUUCUUACUCUCUUCUCUUAACUUUCUGCAACUCUUGACUUUCAUUCCAACAUUCUUUAUAGUAAUCUACUGAUGAUUCCACAAUCUGAAUCUUGUCCUCCAAAUCACUUUUCUCACUUAACGUUCUGUUAUAAUUUUUUUCAUAAUCACAAGCAGCACUGUAGUAAUACUGAUGAGCUGAAUUCGCUUCAGAAAGCUUGUCAUUAAGUUCAUUUUUCUCUUCUGCCCAUCUUUUUUGGGCUUCUGCAAAAUCUAACUCCAUUUGUUGAUAAUUUUCUAUUAACUGAUAAACAGAACCAAGCUUUUCAUGUAGUUCUUUUUUCUCCUCAUCAUCAUUUUCAUACUUUCUUGAAUUCUCUUCUUGAACUUGCUCCAACAUUUUUAGACUCUCUUGCAGUUUUUCUUUUUCUGUAGUUUCAUAUCUAAUAUCUGCAAUAAGUUUCUCUUUCUCUUCCACCAACUUAAGGAUUUGCACAUCACAGAAUUUAACUGAGACAUCAAAAUCCUUUUUCAUCUUUUUGAGUGCUUGCUCAAAGAUCCGUUUCUCCAUUGUCAAUUUCUUGAGGUCCAUUUCGAGAAAACCGCAUCCACAUUUCAAUUUAAUUAUUUCUUCGCCUUUUUGGUCCAGUAGUCCAGGUGGUUUCAGUUGUUCUUGUUCUUUUGCUUCUUUCACUUCUUUCUGGUCUGCUACAGUUGCUUUAAGUUCUAUCUUUGAUUCAUGUUUCGAAUUAUUCCUGUUUUGAGCCAUUUCUUGAAUUUUCUCCGAUGUCAACUCAGAUUUCUUUGCUCUUUCUUCCUUAUUCAAGUUCUGUACGUUUCUAAUUUUUCUAUUUUCCACCUCAUUAUUAACAAUAUAAUUUGAUAUGCGUUCCUUGAGAUAAUCCAAAUACACUUUCAUUGAUUCGAGAUGAGCUUUCUCUUUGGAUCUUUCUUUCCUAAUCUUCUCAGCUUCCUCUUUCGAUGCAGCCUCUUUGAUGAUCUCAGCUUUAUCUUUGGAUGGUUCCAUCUCGGUUUCAGUAUUCAAUUUCUUGAUUAGUUCUUGACUCUUAGUAGGAUCCUGCAAAACAUAUUCUGGAAAGUUAAUGGAUAUAUAAAUACUAUCAACAAUAACCAAGGAACUUGAUAUUAAUUCAUUCUAAAUUGAACAGCACUAAACUUGUAUUGUAUUUUGUAUGCCCCAACGAAAUAUAGUAUAGUCAGACAUUAUAUCAGGUUAUUUCAAGAACUUUUUUUAUCAGCAACAUAUAUAUGUAUACUAUUAAUUUAUAUCCAAGAAAAACUUAAUCAUUUUCAGUUUAUAAACCUAAGUUACCUAGUAAAUGCCAGAUAAAAAAAACCUAGAAAACCUCAAUUUACAUCAGAUUGGUUAUGUAAUUACUUAAUCAAAAACACUAAUUGAUAUCAAUGUCAACUCAUGAAAAAAAAAAAAAAAAGUUAACUUUUAACUUUUAGCAUUUUAUGAAAAACUACCUAAAUUAUUAAUAGCUAAACUCUAAUAAAAGCCGUGUUAGUUAAAUAUCUUUUAGCGUAAAAAAAAACUAAAAGCUAACUUUUAGAUGUUACGUUAGUAUUUUAUAAAAAAUUAAUUCCUGUAAAUAGAUAAAAAAACAGCUAAUUUUGCGAAAUAAAUCCAAUUUUAUUGUUGCAGACAAUAUCAAUACAAAGCAGUUACUCUAAUAUAUUGAGAUCAAUAGUCGAGCAAACAAGAAAUUGAUUAAUUAACUCUCUCUCUCUAUAUAUAUAAAUCAAUUACAGGAGAACUUACAUUAGGUUUAGCGGUAGCAAAUUUUUGGAGAAGGCCAUACGAAAGUAGUAUAUGAGAUAUAAUUAUUAUCACCAACGACGUAAAAGCGCCUAAACCCUUAACGUAAACCUCAAUAUCUCCAAAACAACAAUGAAAGAAUAACACAAAAUAGAUCAAAAACCGCGCAAAACAUAUUGUACUAGUACCAUUGGAACUCUGCAAAAGAAAGUUAAUUACUUAAGUAAUUAUCCAUAACUAAAAACGCAUAAUUUAAAUAAAAAAAACAAGCAGCUAUGAUCUUGAAAGGGAUGGGGGAAUACUCGCAAAAGAACCCUAAUUUGGAUACUCACAUAAGUAAUGACGAUGCCAAAGCAGAAAUUAGUGAAAACCAAGAAUGUUAUGGCCAAACGUAAUUGAACUGUAUAUUGACUUAGAGAAAUACAAAUAAAUUUUAAAAUUAUCAGUCGCUCAAUCCAGAAAAUUGCAGUGAAGGCUAUGUCAUCAAGUUUCGUGUCUUCUUCUCCUCUCUUAACAAUAUUGGCCAUUGUUUGUUUGCUUAGCGGAAAAGUAGCAAUACGAAAAAUAUGAUUAGGGUUUUAUGGUUUAUACAUAGGCUAUUAUAUUUUUCCUAUAUAUAGGGUAAUUUUUACAUAAUUUGUUAUGGUUUAGGAUUGGCUGAGAAUCAAAUCGGUACGUGAAUGGAUAAAGAGUUUAUUUUUUUAAAAAAUAGCAAUUAAUCUCAAUUAAUAAUUAAUAAUUAAUAAUUUUCAAACAAAACUGCAAUAGCUAAUAGCAAUGUUCUGUUCUUAUAGGGAAAGUAAUUUAGAUGGGUAUAGGAUGUAGAAUGAAUUUGGUGCUUGGAGGAUUUAUAGAAUCCAUUAAAGACUGAGUCCGUAUAGGUCAAAAUCUUAAUUCUUAAUUCGAAGAAAAAGAAUGGGGUGAUUACAGUGUGAAUUUAGACUUAAAAUUUUUAUGGAAAUCUUUCAUUCCUGCUGCUAAAGAAUAUAAAAAUAUUAGAGAAAUAGAAAAUAUAUAGAAUAAGAAAACAAAGAUAAUAAUUAGUCUGCCUAUGUAGUCUACAAGAAAGAAAAGAGGAGAACUUUGGUUUCCUUGGGUCACUGGCCAUCUGCCGGGAGUUUCGGAUUUAUGGCUUGGGUUAGCAAUGGGACACUCUAAUUGGUUUAAUUUAAAGUUUAUCAAGUGGUUUGGUUUGCGGACCAAUCAUUUCUCUCCACUCUCUUUGAAUUGAAUGUUACACUAUAAGUAAAAUAAUGUCACAAUAUCAGAAGCAAUAUAUUCCUAAGAAUAUAUUCUUUGACGAGAUUCCCACUGAAAGGUUCAAUUGUUACAUUAUAAGUUUAACAAUUUAUAGGUGAGAUUGUCACGCCACAGUUAACAAACAAAAUAUUAUUGUUAUUGUUACACUAUAAUUACAACUAUAGUGUUGCAACCUACAAAUAUAAAAUAUGUACUGUGUCAUUGUUAGUGUAAUAAUAUAUUUUGUUUACACCUCAACAAUUUGAUGCCAUGAAAGAGAUGUUUGUGGGGAAGAAAAAUAUUCUUGUAUUAGGCAUAAGAGGUAUAAGAACUAUAAAUUAUUAAAUGAAAAAAAAAUGUGUAAGAAGUGUAAAAGAGUAAAUUAUUAAAAGAAAGAAAUUUCUUUGUAAGUGCAAGAGAAUAUUUACUAUUCCACUAUUCUAAUCCGUGAAGCUUGGUAAAUUGUAAGUGUAUAUAAAGGAAAGAACAUUGCUUCUCCCAUUUAUCUACAUGAGGAGUGCUUUUCCCUUAGUCUCCCCUUCUUGCUUUGGUAAGGUUUAAUUUUUUUUUUUUUUGUUAAUAUAUUUUGUUACAUAUUUGUUAAUAUAUUAUGUUCAGAUAUGAAUAUGAGUGUUAUAAUAUACUUGUAAACUUAAAGAAUAUAUUCUUUCUGACACUGUGACAUUGUUUUAAUUAUAGUGCAACAUUCAACAAAAAGAGAGUAAAGAGAAUAUUGUUCUAUAAAACUGCUGGACAACAUUAAUAUAAAUUAAAAUUGAUUAUUUUUAUUGCAGUCAUAGUGUAAUAAUGCAUUUGUUAAAUUAUGACUAGAAUAAAAGCCUUUGAAAUGUCAACAAAACAUUGUUAUGAUAAAUAUCAAUAGUUCAUAAUAUAAAUUUAUGGAAAUUUAAACAUCUAAUUUCUACAAUUAAUGAGUUAAAGAUAGCAUAAUAAAAUUAUUUGAGAAAAAAAUUAAAUAAAAUCAAAAUUACCUUGUUUAUGCUCAAUAUUGAAUCACCUCUAUUUAUCUUCAAGACAAGCAACCGUAUCUUCUAUUAUCAACUUGCUGUAUAAAGUGGUUAGAAAUCAAAAGACACAUUAUAGUACUUACCCUUUCAUAAACUAAUGUGGUUAUGGAUUUAUAGCUAUUAAGGAAAAUAAAUUGGGCACGCUUCGCAUUUCAGUGACCUAGCAGCCAAAUUAUGUUAUGCUGUUUAACCUAGCUUUUUAACUACUGAUGGAAGAGCAUUUAGCAUCUCAAAGGGACCUAUAAAAUGCUAUCAUUGAAGUACGAGAAAAUAUCGGUCAAUUAGAGGUUACAAAGCUGACCCAACUGUAGGGUAGAGCAAACCGUUUGUUAAGUUCAAACCGAAAUCACAAAAUAUAAACCGAAGUUUCUUUAUAAUAAAUCAAACUGGAAAGAAUUUUUGUAAUGAAUCGAAUCAAUCGAACUGAAUCAAUCGGUUUGGUCUAUUUUUAUCGUUUUCACCGUUUCAGUUUUGUUCUAAAUCCAAUCACUGAAUAUUUAUGUAACCGAAUUGAACUGAACAAUAAAUUUGAUUCAAACCGAAUAAUCUGACUGACCGAACCUCUCUUGGGCAUCAGACCGAAUAAACCGAAAUGAGUCGGUUUGAUUUUCAAUUCGGUCCUACCGAUAAUUUUGCUCGCCUCUACACAUGAAAAUAUCCUUUUAACCUAAGAAGAUUAUAAUAUAUGUUUGACCCAAGAGAACGUGGGUCGACCUCGGCCGUUCUAUCAUUAUCUAGGCAGCCUACGGUUAGUUAAGUGGGUCAAGGAGCAAAUUGAUAUUUAGAGGACAUCAAUCAAUAUGGCCCAUCUAAAUUUAUAAUUAGACUUGGGCCAAGAUUAUGGAAGGCCUCCAAAGCAAAAGGAAUAUCUAAUAUAUGGUGCCUAUCCUGAAAAUUAUUAAGAAUAUCUUACAAAUUAACUUGAUCAAAUCUUUUUUUUUUCUUUUAAGAAACUUGAUCAAAUCUAAUAUUCUGAAAAUUUUCAAAUACAUUUUUUAUAUUAUUCUAUGCAUCUCUCUAUAACCUACGGGUUGUGACUCAGUUGGCAAUAUAGACUGAGCAGGUGGGAAGAGUUCGGGUUCGAUCCUCACUAAAUGCACUUGCAAUAGAAAUGUGAGAAACCUUAAUUGUGACUAAGUUCCGAGCUGGAAAAAGACAUCCUGAUGAUGGAGUCCGAAUACCGGUAAUUUAUUUUAAGAAAAAAUGCAUCUCCUAUAUGAUAAUCCUUCAUUAAUUUGUUAGACAUAUGAUUCUAUUGCUAGGGAAACUCAUUCUACAAUAACAGUAGCAACAUGUAGAAAUAAGUGUAAGUAACGAAAGUAAUAGCUAAAAUGAAUUAAGAACUUAACACUAAAAUAUUUAAAAACUUUUCAGAAAAAAAAAUUACUGCUCCGUUUAUUUCUGUAAACUAACUUACUGAAAAAUAUUUUUGUGGAAAACAUUUUCCUUGAAAAAUAUUUCUCAAAUAACUUAUUUUCUAUUAUUUGGUUAUAAUAUUGAAAAUUAGUUAAAAAUAUUAAAGUUUUUAUCUCAUAAGAUCAUAAAAGAUAUUAAUAAUAAUAGACAUUUUAUAAUUUAAAAAUUUUAUUGUUAAAUAUGAAAAGCAUGCAAAAAAAAAAUGUAAAUUAUGAAAGUCGUCGGUGGCUGGUGGUAAAUGAUGACUGGUGGUAGUGACUACGAUGAUUAAUAAAUUAAAAAAUAUAUAAAUAUAUAAGGUUUCCCAAUGUCCGAAAAAUGUUUUACUCUCUCAAAUAUGAGAAGUUAUUUCCUUAAAAAAUGACUUAAUUUUCCAUUGAUUAGGAAAACAUUUUCCAUUUACACAUUUUCCUGAAUACUCCAAACAAUGGAAAAUUGUAAAAAAUAUUUUCUGUAAAUUAUUUUACGAAAACAAACGGACCCUAACAUGAAAAAUAAUCUAAAUUUCACAGUCCAACAUGGCCUAUUUCGUUUUCCAAAUGAGCUAACUCAUAGAUGUUUUAAGUUUAUUAACUAUUUAAUAAUCAAAUAAUAAUUUGCUAAGUGAGGCAUAAUUUUCCAAAAAUAACUUAAGAAAGAACAUGAGUUAAUAAGAACUAAGAGAUCGUACAUGUCUUAGAUUAUCUAAUAUAAUUUGGAUUAGACAGAGGCUGUAAAAGGCAGGGACGAGAAAUUAAAAAAAAAUAAAGAAAUAAACAGAAAAAAAUAAAUAAUUUGUUUCAAGUUUGGUAGUUACAUUUUAGUGAUAUUAAAAUACUUUUUAAUUUAUUUUCAUUUUUAACUCUGUCAAGUGGUUGCAUUUUUCUAAAAACAAACACAUAAAUGCGUAAACUAAUUUAAUUUAGUGGUUAAAAUGCAUUUACUUACUUAAUCCUGGUGAUUGUAGAAUUGAGCCAUAGAAUUAAACAUUUUAAGACUCUAAACAAAAGAACAGGAGUGAGAGGAUAUCUUUAGUAGUAAAAAUAAACAAACAUAUACAGAAUAUAAAGAAUUUUAGCGGAAAAAAAAGAUCCAUAGACCCUUUUUAAUAUGUAGAUUGGUACUGUUAAUAAUUUUAUGAUGUUUGAUCAUAUGAAAUGAGAAAACAACAAUCACGUAUUAUUUUGUUACUUAGAUAAUAAACGAAUGGUUUUUGCUUGUGAAACAUCGUAACAUUAUAAUAGAAGAAUGCCUUAGGUUUCAUGCCGUAUGACAUACAUAGAAUAUUCACCGAGAAGUUCGCAAUUAAAAGAGAUAAUUUAUAUGAAUAAUAAUUAUAUAAUAAAUAUAAGUGACAAGAAUUCCUUACAAAAAGAUAAUAAACUGUUAAAAUUAAAUUGCAAAAAUCUUCGACUAUUUUCAUUUACUGAAAUCUAUUCUUAAUAAUUUUAUUGUCAAUAUUAUCAAAUAUAUAUCUUUUAAGGGUAAAUCAUUAAAUAUACUCCAAACUUUACGUAUUGUAAUAAUUACACCUUAAAAUGAACUUAACCUCUCAGGCACCCCAAUUUAGGCAUGACCGGUUCAAAAUUUUUAAAAUGUUGAACCUGAACAAGUCCUUGAACAACCGGUUCCGACUCUGGCCGGGUCCGGUGCGGUUCCGUUGAACCGACUGUUCCGAUCAUGGUUUCCGGCGAUAUAUGUUUUUUUUUUAAAAAAAAAAAUCAGUUUUAACGUUACAUCUUUUUUUUUGAAAAUAUUAAUAUGAGUUUAAAAAAUAUUGGUAAAUUUUAUUUUAAAUAAAUUUUAGAAUACUCAUACUCAUAUAAGAAUAAAAUUAAUUAAUUUUACAAAAUAAUCAAAUAAGUUAUCACUUUAUUUUGUUCAAAUUUUAUUAAUUAAAUAAAUUAUAAGAAAAUUUUGAAAAAUGCUUCAAAAGAAUGUAAUUUUAAACUUAGUAAACAAUUUAAAAGGGUAAAAAAAAAAAAAGAGUUAAAAACAAUAUAAGUUUAGACUAAAUAUUUCUCUCUUUUUUCUACCAUUUUACUUUUUAGAUUUUUAACUUUUAAAGUAAAGUGUAUUUAAAAAAAAAAAAGAACUUAAGUAAAGUAUAUCAUGUAGUAAAAUAUUAUUGAGACUUUUAGAGAUGUAUAAAAUAGGCUAAGUGAUUAUUAUUUUGAAAAUAAAAAUAAAAAAUUUUCGGUUCAAAUCGAACUGAAACCGCCUAUUAACUGACGGUUCAGGUUUAGAUUUUAGCAUUGACAUGAACCUUAACCGGCCUUUGAACUGCCGGUUUCAGUUCAUCUACAGUACAGUUCGAUUUUGGUUCAAAAUGAAUCGGUGGCCAUUCCUACCCCAAUUGCAAACUUUUGUGAAAAUUGUACCCUAAUUUUAAUUUGGUCAAAAUUAAAUAAUAAAAUAAUAUUAUUAUGGGACCUAUAGUAACUACUUGGGUUGAAUUAACCAUGCCAUGGGUUAAGUGAAACAGAUUGUGUCACUUAAGGUUGGCUCCCUCACUCUCCUUAAUCUUUCUUUUCUUAACCACUCUUCUCCUUUACCUCACCUUUCCAACAAAACGACCAGUAACAUAGAAGAUCAAAGCACACAGCAAACUAUAAUUUUAAAUCAAACAGUAACACUAUGAACACAAAAGGGCACGAGUUAACCCUUUAGUGCUAUCAUAUAUGCUUCCCGAGCUAUUUUCUAGUCUCUCCUAAUAGUGACAACUUCGCCCUUGUCAUAUUAAAACUUCAUGGUGAGAUACUUGAUGCAUGUGGCCGCUUCCAAUUCAUAUACGGCUAGUCUUCCCAAUAUGACAUUGUAUCGAAAGUGAAUAUUUGCUACCAUGAACUCCAAUUUGAGUUUCCUUGAUGAGACUUCGGUUCUGAGCUCUAGAGUUAUGUCUAUAGAUCUAGACACUUGUACAGGUUUUCCUGCCAAGCCGACUAAAGGGGUUUGGAAAGUUUUAAGUUUCGCCUGGUCUAGUUUUAAAGCCUUGAACACUUCCAUGUUCAACAAGUUCAUUGCACUACCUCCAUCCACCAAGAUUCUUUUUACUAGAAAGUUUUCCAAAAUUCCCUCAAUUACUGGGGCAUCAUUGUGUGUGGUAUUUACAAGUUCACCGUCAGCCUCAGAGAAUGAUAUGGGCGGCCUAACACUUGGUUUUUGCUAGAGUAGAAUGGAAUAGAUUUUCCUGGCUCUCAUUUUCCUAGCUGAAUUACUGUCACCUCCCGUUGACCCACCAAAUAUGGUGUGGAUUGUGCCCAGGGUAUGACAUUCUUACACCUGCUUGUCCUUUUGUUCACUUUCUCUCCGAGCUCUCCCAACAAAUUACUUUAGUUUGCCUCUUUACACAAGGCAUUCUGUCUCUUUCUUUAAUUACCAGCAGGCUUCAAUCUCAUGGCCUACAUCGCUAUGGAACUCGCAAUACUUGCUCUUAUCUCGAUAGCUCGAGGUAUCCUCCUUUAUCUUUCUAGGAUAAUAGAACUGAAUUUGAUCGCAUUGUUCUCUUACCUGGGCCAAUAUUUCUGAAUGCAGUCUAUUCAAAUGGGUAAACUCCCGAUCUUGUUGUGGUUUGCCAUCUCUUGAGUAUCAUGUUCGAAUAGAGUAACUGGUUUGUGGGAACCAGAUGGACGACCUCCUUCGGGGCGAUCGUCUCCUUACCGGGGAUGGGUGUCUUUUGUGUCUAUACCUCUCUUCUUUGGGCGAUCUAUGCUGUUGUGCCUCAUAGACUUCAUCUAGUUUUGUGUAUUUGUGAGCUCGUGUCAUGAGUUUGGUGAAUGUUAAGGGAGGGUCUAUACUUAAACUCUCAAAUAACUUGUUGUACCUGCAAUUCUUUGCCUUGUCGCUAAUGGCCACCUUAUCAUUCAAGUUCUCCAUUUGUAUCGCCAUUCUUUAAAAUUUGGAUACGUAUUACCUUAGGGUCUCCCCCUCUUCUCUUUUUAAACUACAAAAGUUUGACAAUAUUUUUCUGGAUGGUACACAUGUUAUGAAACGAGCUCGAAAUGCUGUGGCUAACUGGGAGAAGUAAUGAACGGAUCAUGUUUUGAGUGCUUGAUACCACUCUUGAGCUGCUCCUUUCAGGGUAAUUGGGAAGACUUUGCAUAUUAGAUCCUCCAAGUUUAUUUGAAGGUUCGGAAGAUCGCCAGAUGGCUUUGGGGAUCGGUAGAUCCAUCAUAUGCUUGGAAAGUAAGAAGUUUGAACUUCAAUGGGAAGGCUACAACCAAAAUAUCAGCUGACAAGAGCGAGUCUUGUCGGAGACCAUAAUCCCCUGUUUCUUCUGUGUCUCUACACUCUCGAACUAAUUCUUUGACAACAUUCCGGAGAUUAGCUCCGUCCAAGAUUGGCUGAGUGUGACUUAGCUCUUAGUUGUUGAGGUUAGUCACACUAGGGUCUACUUCAGAUUCUGCCUCAUAGUAUCGAUCAAACAUUGAAUGACUUUAGUAUAUAGGCGAGGUUGGAGGGAGGCUAUGUUCUAGGUGGGGAGGGUUCACCAGCUUGGUGGGUGGUACUAGCUCGCUGCUUGGCUUAGGGUUCUUCAAGAGGCGUUUGGUGGUGAACUGUGAAUAAGCAUGAGCUAGAGCAACUGCUACCUGAAGAUCAGUGGUCAUUGGAGAGGUGAAUGUGGGUUGUUGGUUGAUCCCACCAUAGGUGUUGUCUUGGCCUUUCAUGUUGAGGCAUUCACUGUACUCGUUAGCCAUAGGAACCGAGAAAAACUAUAGGGAUUUUUUUUUAGAGUUUGAAUGUAUAUUCCACCGAUUCCACGGUCAGACUUUAAGGUGUAGUAAAUUGUGAAACCUUUCUUAGAGUAAAUUUGGAGUAUAUAUACACUAGGUCCAGGACAAUUGUAUUAGGAUAAGAAUUACGAAUCCUAUAUUAUCCAUUAAUUAGAAUUUAUUUGAAAAUGUAGUAUUAUUAUUUUAAUAUAUUUUAUUAUUGUAUGUUAAUAGAAACAAUGAAAGGAAAAAAAAAAAAAAAAGGAGACAAUGCUGUCAAUAAUCGCUCAACCAUACCUUUUAAAUCUCCACGCGGAUACCAGAAAAAAUGGGCUUAUCAUGCUAGUAAAUAAACAAAUAUCCAUUUUCUUAUUUGAUUUUGUACCCAUAACUCAAUCAUAAUGCUAUUGUUUCGAAAGAGAAUGCAUAGAAAAAGGAGUGCAAGGGAAUCAAAUCUUAAGGAAGCAGACCUGAUAUUCGAGAAGAGGAGAUUUGGAGAGAUGGAGAUUGAGAAGAAGAGGAAUAGUCUUUGUCUUAUCAAAAGGGUAUUUAAGUCUUUCACUCAGCAUUUAACGGUAAAAAUUGCUAAAAUUAAACUGAAGGACCAUUUAAUGAGACAGAACCAAAAGAAAAACAUGAGGAUGAGUUAAUUAAUUUUGUAAAAUCUCAGGAACGAAAUAAUUAUUUUUCCUUAAUUAACUUAUUAAAUACUACAAGUAAGUCAAAUUCUAUAAUUCAAAAAUAAUUCAUUAAACUCUGUAUAUUAUAAUGCAUCGAGAGAAAUUAAUAGUUAUUAAAUCAAGAAUUAAUAGACUAUGAAAGCCAAUAAUUAAAAAAGAAACGAAAUUACAAAGUUAAAUAGGAUUUUAAUUUUUUUAAAAAAAUAAUUAUUCAAAUAUUUUCCGUUUAUAAUUUCAAGGGGCCAUUUGCCUCUUGCCCAAAUGUGGCUCCGUUCAUGCUUAUUUUGUUAAAAUAAAAGUAGUUACACUGCUAUGGCGUUAGCAACAAUAGCUUUGAUAAUAAUCUUAUCCCUUUUUUAUAAUUUUAUAAAAAGAAUCAACGUCCUUCAAUUGAUUGAAAUAAGAAUAUAGUUUUAAAUUAGAAUCCAGAAACAAUGUAACUUUUAUUACCUAUCAAGAUUCCAUUUGUUUCUCAAAAAUAAUUUGUUUGAAAAUUAAUUUUUAAACUUUUAAUGAUUUGGUUACUUAAAUAAUUAAUUAAUGAAAUAUAUAUUCUUAAUUAAAUGAAAAACUCUUUUAAGAAAAAUAACUUAUUAUUUUUAAAAGAUAAAAAUAUUUUUUUAUGUUAACAAAUUUAUUAUAAUCUUAUAAAAACACAUUUAUUAAUUCAUUAAUUAUGAAUAUUCACCAUCACUAGUCACAGGCAAUUACUGGAUAUUAAUAAUUAAACUUUUUAUGCAUUUUUCUCAUAUUUAAUUCUAAAUAUUUAAAAUACCUAAUUUGUGCAAUUAUAAAUAUUUUAGAUUCUUAUAAAUUAAAAUUUUUAAUAUUUUUUAUUAGUUUUUAAUUCUACAACCAAUUAACAGAAAAUGAGUUAGUAAGAUAUUAAAUAUUCUUCAAGAAAUAUAUUUUACUUUGAAACAUAUUUUCAAAAAUAAAUUAUUUUCUAGCAACAUGCGGCUGUAAAAUUUUUAAUUUGAAAAGGAAACAGUAAUGGAAAUUAAAAACCACCCUUAGAGAAACCCAUGAGCUGCAUCAAGCAUGCAAUAAGCAUGGAAUAAAUGUCAAAUCCCACCGUCCAUAACAAAUCCACUAAAAUGACAUCCAAACCCAUCAUCGUACAAAAUGAAAUAUAAUAUAAAAACAUAAUAUUCCAUCCCCUAAUUAACAUCAUCAUAUUAUGUACGUACCAAUGACCAUACGAUACGAUUUAGAAUUUCGCAUCUAAUAUUACACGGUCCAAACCGCCCCAAUUCAUUAAUUUUAUUUAAUAAAUUUAAAAUAGAUGAGUGGAUUAAGACUGCGUUGAUAUUAGGUUUGAUUUUAUAAGAUCAACCAAAUCCCGAUUUAAAUUUAUUAAAAAUUUAAAAGAAAGAAGAAGAAAUCGAUUGGAUUUGAGACUCUCUAUGAACCUGUUUUGAUGACGUAGUUUGUUUACUUUUUGAUUAUAUUUGAUUCUUUGUGUAUAUACGACGUCACAUUAAUGGCACGAUGAAUGCAUGUUUCCUUUUCAUGCAUUUUGUUUGGACGUGUUUGGUUCAUUCAAUUCUUUGUUUUAGUUCAAUAAACCGGUGGUUUUUGGACUCUUGACGCUUUUAAAUCCGUCCUCGUAUUCGGAGCUUGCUGGUUUUGUUCUCAUUUCCAGUUACGACGCAAUUCUAAAAAUGCUCAGUUCCGGCCAGUCGUUGAAUCUUUUUCAGUCUUUCUUUUACUGGAAUCGAUCAGCCUAUUGAAUUGAUAAUCUUGAUAUAAUUUAAGUCAAGUCCAAUACCUUGAUUUCGAUAUUUUCAGAAUCAGAACUCUCAAAUUGAUUUUGAUCCAACUUACUAAAUUGAUUCUCAUACUAACCCGACCUGUGGCUAGUGUUAAUUUUGUUACUAAAAUAUAUAUAUAUAUAUAGCUUAUUGUUUAAAAAGAAAAAAGACUUAAUUUAAUAUAGGAGUUUUUUUUUUUUUCUAAAUUGAAAUCAAAUAAUCCUAAUUUUUUAGUUUCCUUUGUUUGGAUGGAUGAAAUGUGAUUCACGGAUUUGAAUGAUAUUUUUGCAAUGGAAUUAAGUUGUCUAAAUUCCAUCAUUAAUUAAAAAAAUAUGGUCUUAGAGAAAUUUUACCUAUUAAGGGGUUUUUUUUUUUCCUUCUAAAAUUGUAGAACUGAGGUUAUGAUUGGUAAAUUUCAUGAAUAUUUUUUCUCAACAAACAAAAGAAUUUGUUAAAUCUGUAAUAUUUAAAUUGUAUCAUUCAAAUUUUACUAAUCAAAGCAAUUUCAAAGUGCAUUUCUUAUAAUAAUAACUUCAACAAAUACCCGUGAUAACUUGGUCUAAUAGUUAAAGCACACUAGAUCUCACUAUGAUGAUCGCAUGGUCGAAUUGUGAAGUUGGCAUAUUAAAAAGGUCUUUUAAACAUAAUUGCUCUUCGGCGCAUAAGAAAGUAGUCUCUCGUCUAAUAUUAUAACGCCUUCUAUACUUACUAUGAUUACUUGCCUUUUUUUCAAAAAAAAAAAAAAAUUAUAUACACAUAUUGUUUUUAAAUAUAAUAUUAUGGCAAGGGAUUGAAUUACAUGGGGAAAAAAAAGUAGAAGAUUUAUAGGAUAAACAAUAUAAUAUUUACAGUUGCGCAUCCAAAAUUACACGGUCCAAACCGCCCCAUUCAUUAAUUUUAUUUAAUGAAAUUAAAAUAGAUAAGUAUAUUAAGACUCAAGAGAGUUAAAAAAAGAAAAGUUAAAAAAUGAUAAUAUAAAAAAAAGGCAAGUUAAGAGUUUGCCUUAAUAAUAAAAUGAAAAGUAAAAAUAUUACAGCGGUUUAUGAGCUGGCUUUAUUUAUAAUGAUAAGUAUGAUAUAUUAUCUCUGUUUUUAGUAAUGUAAUAUGAUAUGUUAUCUAAACGCAUGGAUAUGUUAUCUAAAUGCAUGCAUGUAAUUAUAUAUGUUAUUUUAUGAUGUGCUUAAUUUUUCUCGUGUUAUAGUCGUUCAUGUAAUUUUUUAUUUAUAUAAUAUUAAAAUAUUUUUAAUAGUGAUUAAUUUAUAUUGCAUUUUAUAUAUAUAAUAAUUUUUUUUGUUACAUGUCUUUCAAUGUAACAUUUAAUUAAAAAGAACCACUCAAAAAAAUAUUUAAUUAAAAAGAAAAUGAUACUUAUAUUAUAUUUUUAAAAUAACACUUUUUAUUUGUAUUCUCUUUGAGCUAUUGAUUCACUACAACGUGGAAAACAUCUGUUAAUUAGGUAAACUGAGUUGAUAUUAGGUUUGAUUUUGUAAGAUCAACCGAACCCCAAUUUAAACUUAUUAUAAGAAAGAAGAAGAAAUAGGAUUGGAGUUGAGAGUCCUUAAUAUGAACCUGUUUUGAUGACGUAGUUUAUUUACUUUUUGGUCGUAGUUGAUUCUUUUUGUGUACGUACAUAUACGCCAACGUCACGUCAAUAGCACGCAGAAUGCAUGUUUCCUUUUCAUGUAGUUUGUUUGGACGUGUUUGGUUCAUUCAAUUCGUUGUUUUAGUUCAAUAAACAGGUGCUUUUGGAUUGCUGAGGUUUUUAAUAAAUCCGGGUCGAACACCUUGAUUUCAGUAUUUUCAGAAUCAGAACUCCCCGAAUUGAUUUUUCUAAAUAUAGCAGUAAUAUAUUUUUCUAAAUUGAAAUCAAAGAAACCUAAUUUUUUAGUCUCUUUCAUCAAAUUGAAAAAACAAGCACUUAUUUUAAUUAAUAAAAUUUGAAAUCCAUGGAUUUGAAUGUUAUUUUUCAAUAGAAUUAAAUGGUUUAAAUUCAAUCAUUAACGACCAACAAAGUAUUGGUUAAGGUGGUAAGCAAUCUCGAUGUCCAUAAAGGUGUCAGAUUGUGACAUCCUUUUGUUCAAUUUCUACAUAUUUUCCAUGAAAUACUUUAUGAAUGAUGAAAAUCUAAUAAUAUAACGGAAGCAAAAUAUGGAGAUAUAUUAAUAUAUUUAAAAAAAAAAAACAGAAACAGACCAGUUGUAUUUCAUAAACCGCAAAGAUGGUGUUAUAAUUCUUCCAUUUGAGUUUUGGCUUCUCGAGGGCAAAGGCAUAUACAAAUUGUGAAAAGCUCUUGAUAGUGAAUGAGAGCUGGACGACACUAACCUAAAAUAUAGUUAUAUUAGCGGUGGUGUGAUAGUUUCACAGCACCUAAAACUAUGUUACUACCAACUAAAACGUCACGCUCUUCUUCCAAAUAUGCACCAACUUCAAAAAAUUUAUGAUAAAAACAAAGUUUAAACAACAUUCCUUUGAGCAUUUAUAAUUUAUACUUUUAUUUGGGUUAAUUAGGUAAUAUAUAUCUAUCCUUCCGAUGUCAUUAAUUAAAAUUAUUUAUACCGUUACUAACUUGGUGAAUUCGAGUGUAAUCUGAUUUAUUUUCUUCUUUUCUGUCAGAAUGUGAGAGAUUUUUUUAAAUCGAGAAUUUAAUGAGUCAAAGAGAGACCUAUUUAUUUUGGUUCAUUAAUUCUUAUAAUGAAUAAAAAAAAUAUACCCUCGAACAUGAUAAUCACACCAACGAUUAUAUGAAAAGAAAAAAUAAAUCUUUUUAAGUGAAUUCAAUGAAUACAUUUUGAUCAACAUGCUAAAAUAUAAAUAUCAAUAUUCUAACUUGUAAUGCCCUAGAUUUUUUUUAUUAUCUAAAAUAAAUAAUGCAAGUGACUAAAAUGGUUAUUCAAAUUGAUAAAAUUCUACUUAUUUUAAUUUGAGUUCAUGAAUAUAAUGCUUUUACUAUAAUGUAGAAUAAAAGAUUUCUGUAUUGAUACAGAACUCAAAUAAUAUGACACUUGUGCAUAAUAUAUAUAUAUAUAUAUAUAUAUAUAUAUAUAUAUAUAUAUAUAUAUUCUAUACCUGACGAGAUUGAAUUAAACGGAAAAAUUAAAAGAUUUAUAGAAUAAAAAAAAAAAAAAUUUACUGUAAGCUUUAAUUACAAAUGACUGAAAAAUAUUAAAAUUUAUAAAUUAAAUAAUAAAGAUAAAUCUUAUUAACAUAAAUUUAAUUUUCAAAAUUAUCUAAUUCUACUCAUUUAGAAAUAUUAACUCAAUUAAAAAUAAGUGAUCAACUUAAAUAACUCCUUGAAUUAUGGUUCAGCAAAUUAUAUUUACAUUAAUAAUCUCAAUUAUUAAUAUCUUUUUUGAUAUUAAUAUCAGAAGUUCAAAUUAUGAGUGUUUCAAGUAAUUGCAUUUAUAUUAUCGUUCUAAUUUAAAUUAUUCUUAUUUAUAAGAAGUUCUUAAUCUUAAUUAGUGCUAUAUUGUUUGAGAAAAGCGGGAUUCGAACCUGAAUCUAUUGUCGGAUCAUAUAUACACUUGCCAUUAGAAUAUGCUUUAGUGUGUAUGAUUAUAUUUCUAUAAUAUACUAUAAUAUAGAAACCAUAAUGUCUUGAAGUAACCAUAAUGUCUCUUGAUUGAAAAUUUUCCACCUGCAACUGGAAGAUGCUAGUAAAGAAUCUAUGCCUUCAUGUGUAAACUUGGCCGUUGAGACCUUUAUGUAAAAAGAAAGACUAGUGACAUUUUGACCGUAAUUUUUAAGGAUUAAACCUAUAAAAAUAUCCUCAAUGUAACAUCCCUUCCCGGUCCACCCAUUAACCCUAAUGAACCGAGCCGAGACGCUACAAUUUGGUUGAACCUAUGUCCUGUCAUGCUGAUAUCAUCCUGUAUGCUAAAUAUUAUGUCAUGUUUAACAUCACUCCCAAUUAAACUCCAAACUUCCAACAUCUCCAAAUAAUCAUCAUAACACAAUAACACUAUUAUAUUUUCAUAACUGUAUAAAUCCUCAAUAGUAUUGAAUAUCCAUCAAAUAAUUGCAUUCAUGACAUAUAUCAAGUCUUAAUGAACUAUUUAAAAUAUUUCAUAUUCAAUCAUUUAAUAAGUAUUAUUCUUCUCUCCAAAUACUUACGCCAAAAUAAUUACAUGCUUCAAUUAUAUUUCCAAUAACAUAAUCUCUACAAAUGUAAUAAUUAUACAUGCUAUAAUUCUUAAUUAUAUAAAUCUCAAUCUCCUACUACCAAAGUAGUCACUUCUGCUUUGAUAUUACUCUUCACAUCUUCAAGUAGCAACCACAAUCUUCAACCUACGCGUAAUAAAAAUCGACGCGCUGAGUAUAAAACUCAGUGGUGCUCAUAAUUCACAUACUUACCAAAGUUGCGAUGGCAACUUACUUAAAAUACAAAUUUCAUAAAAUCAUUGAUAAUCAUAGAAUCAUUAAAUUUCAACAUAAAUUUACAUCUAUAGCAAAGAAAUAUCAAAUAAUCAUAUAAUUAAUAACAUACAUAAUUUAGUUCUAAUUAUACCAGAAAUCCUUUACAUAACCAUUUAAUCACACAUAGCAUUAUAUUUUCAUGAUCUUACCUUAUGUUCCUUAUGCUGUAUGAAUUAAAGAAAUAAACAUGUAAGCCCUAUGCUGUAUGAAUUAAAUAAAUAAAUAUGUAAGCACACAUAACAUUAUUAUGACUUAUGUAAUUUUUAGUCAACAUCGUAUAAGUUAUAAAUAAUAAAAUCUCAUAACUGUAUGGCUCCAUAAGGUUAUAGUGAAACCUAAGUGAUAAGAAGAACUGUAUGAAACUGGAUGAAUACUGUAUGGCUGGGCUGCUAUGGCCCAUAUAUAAUCAUAUCCACUCAACGGCCUGUAGCCGGAGUAACAAACUGUAUGGGGCGCAGAUAUGCUAUUCUAUGUCGCGAUAUAGCCUUAUCUACAUGGUUUCUACUUAACCUCAAUGGAGCAUAUUAUCUGUAUGUCAUUAAUACAAUCAACAUAUUAACUUAUUCAUGAAAUGCAUAAACCAUACUGUUUAUCUGUAUGCUGUCUCAUUAUGUAUGUUGCUAACCUGUUUCAUGCUUUCAUGCUUUAAAAAGGAUGUCCUAGACAAUUAUCAGUAAUAUCUAAUGAGUAAUAAUGCAAACAAUUAAUCACUUGUAAAGGAACUUGCAUGGAAAUAAUUUGACUGUUGCACCCGCGACACAACUCUUACUAAUCUUUAUGUAACUUAAUUUAUACCAAUCAAAUUAACAAAAUUCUUGAUUUUAAUAUAAGUUAACUCAGAAGGUUAAAUUCAGUAAAUAUCUUAGGCUGAAUGAAUCUACAUAUGCAUCCCAACAUCAUGUCUAAUGUAGCCUUGAAAUCUGCUAAGGCUGCCUGUACAUGUUUUACAAAUACUAGCAUAACUCUGUCUUCAUAAGUCCAAUUUAGGUAAUUCAAAAUUCUAUGGUGAGCUAACACAUUAGGGUACAAAUAUGUCUUCUAGCAUAUCUCUUAAUUAUGUUAGUAACGUAGUCAAAUAUUGAGCUAAAGUAACAACUUCCAGUCUGCCCAGCUUUUGGUUUCCAGCCUGCACAGUUUAUACCAUUUUGGACAUAUCUUUUAAUUUAUAAGUCCAAUUUAGAUGAUUUCCAAGCUUAUGGAUAGCUAAAACAUAAAGGAACAAAUAACUCUUAUACCACUUCCUAAUUCCAUCGUUUUCGUUUCUCAAACCUAUGAUUCAAGACAUAGAAAAUAUUCAGCAUUAAAUAAACUUUGACCUUUGCUGAGUGUUUAAGACAUAUAAAUUGAGUUAUAGGGCUUUAAAUUAAAUGAAAUUAGAUUAAUUAGAAAGCUAAGACAAAUUUAUACAAAUUUUAUAAAGGGAUCACAACCCAGAUCAAUGUGUAAGAUGGUGAACAAAGACUAGGAACACAGACCAACAGUCUAGACCUGAUUCAGCAGAACCAAGUCAACUGUUUGUUGUAUUUCUACUUAUCCAAACACUAAAACUAAACCAAUCCAAAACCAGAGAAGUCUAAAGACAUAGGGUAACAACUCUCAUGAAGACCUUAGAACAUAUUCUUGCCAUUAUAGUUGUCAAAAUGGGCACUCAAGUCAGUGAUGCAUGUGGCCCGUCAUAACAGAGUCAGUUUGGGUGUUUUAGCCAUAAGUGGAGCUAUAUAUAUCCAAAUUGAACAUAAGAGGAUGGGUUGGAAAGCUAAGAAGUAGACCUACAACUUUCAUGAAGAACUCAGAUACAACUGGAAAAUAAAAAGGAUCGAUACAUAGUCUUUAAUGCCACCUAAUAACACUUUUUCCCAAUUUCAGCUUACUUAAAUCAUAUACAAGGUAAAGAUUUCUUCCACAUACUAAAUACUCAUCAAAUAUCAUCUUAAGAGCAUAAAUCAACAAAGGAUAACAAGAAAACUUAAGGCCUUAUUCAUCAAUAGGUUCUGCCGCUCUUGGAAGAUGAAGAAGAAAAUGUUUUCCUCAUCAAUUCAACAUAUAGGCAUGCUUAGAAAUCUCUCAAGAACACAUUUAUACCACCAAAAUUGAAUAAUCAAAUCAUUUCAUAUAAAAUUCCCAAUUUUCACAAAAUAGUAUCAACUUCACAAAAUUAAAAAUUUAAACAAGGUAAGAGUGUUUAUGAACACUUACCUCAAAAUCAAGCUUGGAACACCCCAAAAGUCACCAAAUCAAACUUGAGUCUUGCAUUUAGCCACCUUAGAUAGCUCACCUUUUAAUUACCCUUAAAAAUUCUGCACAUCUUUAAGCUCCAAUUCAAUAAUAACCUUGAAUCUUCAAGAGGAAGGUCUUGGUUGGAGUUCAUAUGGUCUAGUUAGAGUGAUUUUUUUGUGAGAAAUUGAAAACAAUAAGGAAGAGAAGGAGAGCAUAUGGUUCGGCCAAGGAAGAGAAGAAAGAAAGAAAUGGUUGCUCAAAUCAUUCACGUUGAAGAUAAAAAGAUGAAGAGAAAAUGGUUGCUCAAAUCAUUGAGCACAAGGGUAUUUUAGUCUUUUCUCAACAUAAUUGGAUGGCUACGAUUAAGUCAAUGGUAAUCUAAUCCAAUGGCUAAAAAUAUUCUCCAAUUUAUUUCCUUCAAAAUAUUAUUUCUCUCCACAAAAUUCUUAAAUUUAAUCCUUAAAAAUAAGUUCUCUUAUUCCCUUACUUAAUAUAACACCAUCUCUAUUUACUUCAUAAAAAUAUUGCAUCUAAGUUCCUUAAUUAAUAUAACACUAUAAUUAACUAUUCACUAAUUAUCUAACUUCUCCAAAAAUAUUCAUUACUUACUUUCUACCCAUAAAAAUAAUGUAUACAUACUCCAAAAAUAUUAAAGACAAUAUUAAACAUACAUAGUAAUUUUUUUCGGACCAAAAUAAUAUCGAUUUCCGGACUGGUGGCACUAUUCACACACUGGUAAACUUACUAUUUCAGACAAAGAAAAAUGGGGCGUUACACUCAAUUUUUCGAUUUUCUGUAUAAUCACUUUAUGUUACUUUUAUAUGCUGCGCGCAAUGACGAAGUCAGGAUUAUAAUACAAAUAAUGUAUAAUAGAUGAUUUAUCAUUUAAUAAAUUAUAUACUACACUUCUCUAUUUAAAAAAUUAUACAAAUAUUAUGAGGAAUGAAAAGUUUAAUCAAUAUAAAUAACAUCUUUUUCCUCUUCAAACAAACUCAAAAUUUAUUGAAUAACAAUUUCAUAAUAAAAGGUUCUUUCGCUCCAUAAAAAAUCAUUCUUUUGAUUUCAUAGUUAAAAACAUAUUUGGAUUGUUUAUGAAAGAAAUGAUAAGAUGAAUCUUAUUUUUAUAACAAUGUAACCAAAUUUAAACAAUUUAAAUGUUAAUAAUAUACAUUAAUUUAUUUAUAUAAUACGAUAAUAACAAAUGCAGAUUGUUCAAAUAAUAACUUGUUAACAAAAAAAAGUGCAUUUAUUAGAGGGCUUAACUCGUGUAGGAAUAAUUCCUCUUAACACCCUCUAAUAAAAUCCCACAUUUUAGGAGGAACUUCCAAAUGCCAUAUCUUUCCUAAUGAUCCCCCUGUAAACGUUCCCCCCCUCUCCCUAGCCAUUUCAACGCUACAUAGUAACUCGAUCUAACCCGAUACUCUCCCCUCCUAUCAAAGUGCCAAAUCAACUUAUCUUCUAGAUUAUUCACACCCAAAGGAAUAUUAAGAAUUGUCCUAAUGUCUCUUGCACUAAAUAACUCCACAAUUUCAUCAAAAUCCCAACCUCUCCUAUCAUUCGUUAUAAGAUCACACACUCUCAUAUCAAGUUCUAAAAAAUGAAUGACAUCCUCCACAUAAAAAGUAUCACUCUUGGGAAGUCAAGGAUCCUGUGUGACCAAAAUAUUCUCACCAUUCCCCACUCUCCACGUAACCCCUAACUUUAGCAUGUCCCUGACAAACAAGAUACUCCUCCAAGUAAAACUGAGAUUAUUCCCUAGUGAUGCAGAUAGAAAUCACCAUCCGGAAAAUAUUUAGCUUUGAGCGUACAAUAAAGAAGAGUAUUGGGUUCGGAUAAUAGUCUUCACCCUUACUUACCAAGCAUAGCAAUAUUAAAGCUAUACAAAUCUCUAAAACCCAUUCCCCCAUCCUUCUUGCUUUGACACAUCCUAUCGCAAGAAUACCAAUGGAUACCUUUAUUAUUCCCCCCUUUAGAACCCCACCAAUAAGAAUUCACAAUUUUUUGAAGAUCAUCACACAACGAUAAGGGAAGUAAGAACAUACUCAUACAAUAAGAUGGACAAGCUUGUGUGACAGACUUAAGUAAAAUCUCCCUACCUACUUUAGACAAGAGCUUAUUAGUCCAACAGUUAAUUCUACUCAAUAACUUGUCCUUUGAAAAAUUACAAAUAUGUUUCUUCCUUUUACUAAUUAGAGAAGGUAACCCCAAAUAUUUCUCCUCUCCUAAAGAAUUAUGAACUUCUAGGAUAUUGGACACAGACACUUUAACCAUACAUGAAACAUUAGGAUUAAACAUGAUCCUUGACUUCCUAAAAUUAACGGCUUGACCCGAAGCACUGUCAUAUUCAUCUAAAAUCUGCUUUACUCACCUACCCUCACUGUCUGAGGCCUUAAAAAAGAAAAACAAGUCAUCUACAAAUAAUAAAUGUGCCACCCUUGGACAUCUAACUCCAGCUCGACACCCAUGGAUCCAUCCUCUCUACUCAGCCUCCUUAAACAACGGGGAUAAACCUUCAGAACAAAUAAUAAAAAGGUAUGGUGAAAUAGGAUCUCCUUGUCUAAGACCCCUCUCUGGAAUAACAGGACCAACUACUUCCCCAUUACACAAGUAAGAGUACCACACAUUAGUCACACAUGCUGUCAUCCAAUCAAUCCAUUUGGUACUAAAACCCAAUCUACCCAUCAUAUCUUGCAGGAAAUUCCAAUUGACCCUAUCAUAGGCUUUAGUUAUAUCUAUUUUAAGAGUUGCCAUACCCGUACCUCCCCACGUUUCAUACUGUGAAGAAUUUCAAAGGCCACACCAAUAUUAUCCUGUAUUACUCUACCCAGCACAAAAGUAUAUUGGCUAUUCGAAAUAGUCAAUCUGAAGCAGAGCAAAUUUAGCAUUUAGUUUAUUGAAGAAGAAAAGGAAAAAUUAUAAAUAUUAAUCACGUGUAGAAUAGUUGUUUAAUCUAUCAAAAAGGAAAAAGAAAAACUAUUAAAAUAAAAAAUAUGUAGAAAAAAAAGAAAAAAAGAAACACUAUAAAAAUGGAUUAAAAAGAAAAUUUUAAAAUUAAUGGUAUAUAAAUUGGUCUUUUAAUUAACCAACAAGAAAAGCUAUUAAAAUAAAAAAUUAUGUAAAUAAAAUUUAAAAAGAAAAAGAAAAACUAUGAAAAAGGGAAAAGGAAAAGUAUAAAAUAACAGGGAGCAAAGAAAAAAAAUUAAUAAAAUUAUAUAUAAAUGGAAAAACAAAAAGUAUAAAAAGGGGAAAAAGCAGAAAUUGGAAAACUAAAAUAAUAAAAACCAGAAAAAAGAUCACAAUAAGUAGUUUCAAACAUUGGCUGACAAUAUAAACUCACAACAUUUUAGCCACUAUACCAAACUACACUACAUUUCCUUUCUACCACUAAAUUAUUUUAUAAAACAAUCCAGGGGCAUGGCCCCCUCCUCCCCUUCUCUCCACUCCCUCUGCUAUUGGUUGGGCAUAACUAUUUUGAAACUUAUAUAUAUUAGCACCACAAAUAUAAACAAAUAUUUAAAAUAAAAGAAAAAUGAUAUAAAACACAAGACAAGCCAAGAAUACUCUCAAGGAGAUCUCAAUUAAUAAAAAUUCAUUUUUAUUAAAUCUCAUAAAAUUAAAAAAUAUAUUGAAACAAACAAAUAAAAUUACAAUCUUGAUAUAGAUAUAGAAGAGUUUGUGAUAAAAUUAGAGGGCUUAGAGAAACUAAAUCCGUUGAUGAUGCAUAGAAGCUUCGAUGAAUAUGAAUUCAUUUAGGAUCUAUGGCAAGGUCAUGAUUCAAAGAUGGAUUGGAGAAAGAGGAAGAGAUGCCAAGGUUAAAGAGAGAGAAAGUGACUGAAUAAAUUGUGGACUUCAAAAACUGGCAUUUAAUGGUUGUGGGUUAAGCUUACCAAAGAUUAAGGCCUCGUUUGGUUCAAAUUCAUCUACUUUCCGAGGAGUUCACUUCCUAGAAAAUAAAGUUUCAAAGAAGUUACUUCUUGAAAAGUACAGUGUGAAUAUGUUUUGUUGAUAUAUUGAAUUCCCAAGAAAUAAAAUUGUGUUAAUGAAAUUUUACAUAUGAAAGGACAAUAAUACUCCUACCAUGAAUUUAAAUAUAAUAAUUGAAAUAAUUCAUUGAAAGCGCAAAAUGGAGAUUGUUAAAUUCUAAAGGUCAAGAAGUGUACUUCCUUAGGUUGAGGAGAGGAAGUAACUUCCUGUACGGACAAGAAGUUGAGCAAUUCAACUUUUCGAGAAGUUCUUUAUUUUUGGAAACCAAACAUAAUCAAAUGCAUCACUUUUCAGGAAGUUUAAGUUCCUGAUGUAACACCCUAUGCGAAUCUCACAUCGGCUAAACACAAGGUGUAAAUGAAACCCAUAAGAAUGGGCAAGUUUUAAACUAGCAAGAAGCCAUAAGGCAUGAGUUGGUUCGGCCAGAGUAAAUAGUAUCUUGCAAUGUUUAAGAUGGAUGUGAGUUGGUUUUAUCUUGGCAACUUGUAAAGAGGUUUUUUUGGCUAUUGUUGGUUGUAGCUCAAGAACAAACCCGUGCGGGCCUGAGUAAGUUCGGUCCAAAGCGGACUGUAUCUUGCUAGCUCAAACUUAUUCUAAAGCCUAGUCUUAACUCCAUAUUGGAGUGUUAAAUGCUAUAAUAUCUAAGUUUUAAAAUAGGAGUGCUUGGGAUACAUAAGUGCUAUAAUACCUAAGUUUUAAAAUGAGAGUGCUCGGGAUACAUAAGUAAAAAUAGAGUGAUUUCGCGAUAAGUUAAAAAAUUGAGAGUAUUUUGAUAGGUUUGUCCAUAUUUGAAGAUAAACUCAAAGUAGUAAUGUUUCUUUGAGAUUUUAUCAAUAUACAUUUCAUCUUUCUUCACAUUUCAAAUUUAAACAUUUUUCUCUUUAUUGUGUGGUCCAUUAAUAUUAUCAUUUUAUGGAGUAGCCAAUUCCCUUAACAAGAGGGCAACUAUUAAGGAUAGGCGAAUGAUAAGUUUCAAGAUUAUCAUUUUCCCCCCUAUCAGCAUAGAGUACUGUGUUUAUAAAGAUAAAACUUGCAUACGUCUGGUGUAUAGAUGGUCUUAUAUAUCAAACCAAUCAAAAAGUAGCAUUUUAAAAAAAUAUUACCGUUAUAUAUUUUUUUCCUGUACAUGAUCGUAAAUGGUUAAAUACUCUUAUUUUGAAUUAAAAUUCUAUAUGUGAUUAAUUUGAUGUACAAGUAAAUCUAUAUACUCGAUGUAGGUAAUUCUUUUCCGUAUUUAUAAAUUACCAUUGCAACAAUAUUUAUAGAUAAGUUUUCAUAUCCAUCAAUAUACUCACCUUUAUGUCCACCGCCUGCAUUACUCGUAUGUCAAUACAUUUUUUAAAAGAGUAGGCUUUUGCGGGGCUUCCCUUGUUAUUGAUUAAAUUUCACAUGAAAAGAAAUUAAAAAUUAAUAAAUAAUCUUUAUGUCUCACAUUAUAAAUCGUUUAAUAUUUUUACACGAAAAUUAAAAAACUAUGAGUAACUUUAUUCUAUCUAAUGUAAAUAAGAGUGAUAUUAAAAAAUUAUCAUUUAUUAUUCUUUAAAAUACUUAAAACGAUUUAUAUUUUGGGAUAUAAUGAUCACUCAAAAUGAUUUAUAUUUUGAAAUGGAGAGAGUAGUUAGUACUAGAAAUCAUUUUACCAAUCAAACCAUCAGCAUCAAACCUUUUAGUGUUUUGUUAAAUCAAAUGUAGUAAGGAAAAAAAAUAAUACGAUAACUUUAUUUGGUUCAAAUACUUGCCUUUUCUUGUUACAUUAUAUUGAAUGAACUUUAAGCAGAUAUAUGAAUAAUACAGGUAUUUGGCUUUCCAAUUCGUUGCUCUUUUCCUGAAAGAAGCCAAUUCUAAUUAAGGGUUGAUGGAAAUCCAAUUUUUUUGCCAUUUUAAAAUGAAAAAAAAAAUAAAACUAAAAAUUUUACAAAAUUUACAUAUAUUUUUAAAAUUUAUAAAUUUAUAAUUUUUGUAAAAAGUACAAUUUUAAAUUGAAAUAACAAAAUGAAAUUUAGUGGUUCUCUUUCUCUCCUGCAUGAUAAAAUGAUAUUGUUUUUUUUUUUUUUUUUUAAAAAAAAAAAAGAAAGUGAAUGCUAAAUUUAAGGCGGAACACAAAUAGAUGAUUCCAAAAGACACAAACACACUACCACUAUCUUUUCCGUGACCAAUAACAGACAGUCACGUAUUCAUGUGCCAAUCAGACGUAUGUCCUAAUCCAUCUUCUUCGCCUAUUUAAAGACAAAGGUCCUCUGUGUUCUGUGUUUAAAGAUGUCCCUUCGCUAAAUCAAAAGGCCGAGAUUUCGGCUCUAUAAAACUCGGAUAUUUCGCGACAUUUCGUUUCCUACGGUGUAAUGGCAAUGGCUGGCUAUGGGCUAUUGAAGAUCGAUGAAGGAGAGCUAAAGAGCAAUCGAAGAACAUCGCGUCUCGCUUCUCUUGAUGUCUUUCGCGGCAUCUCCAUUCUUGUGAGCUUUCUUUAGCUUUUCUUGUUUUCUUUUAAUUUAUGCCACGUUUUUGAUUGGUUGCUGAGAAAAUGCCAGAAAAUGAACCGCCGCAUGAAAAUAAUUCAAUGGAAAUUAAGCCAAAAAAAAAAAAAAAAAAGCUUCAUUUUCAGGUUUUAUUUCUCUUUGGCCUCUGUUUCCAUAUUUUUGUUAAUUUUAUGUUUUUGUUUUUUCUUUUAUUUAAAUAUUUUAAACAAACAUACAAAAAAGAACAGAGUUCAUCAUAUGAAAAAAAAAAAAAAAAUCUCAUUGAGUAUAAAUUUUUUUAAAAUAAUUUAAUAAUAUUUAUAUGAUGAGAUCCACUCCACCCUAUAUGAAAAUAAUCCACAUCAAUCUGAUCUGAAUAUGAAUUACUGGGUAUAAAAAUCAUAAAAUUUGAUUUUUAUUAUUUUUUUAUAAUAUUUUUGAAUAUAUAAUUUUUUACAAUUGUAUAAUAAUUAUAAAAACUAAAACAAUAAAUAUAUCCUAAAUUAAUUUAUUAGCGCUGUCCAACCACUUUUCAAAAUAGACUGAGUGCAGGAAUGUCCAACCGAAGCUUACCUUUCGUCCAAUCAACUUGUUAGUGGAUGAGAAAAGCAAACAUACGUUGCGUGCGUGCAUUUCGUAUAAUGCGCAAUGCAUAGCAUAAUUCGUUUGCUCUUUACGCAAUCUUUCUGACGUCAAAGUAACCUUCAGUUUUUGCAAACUGUCCGAAAAAAGCAUAGAAAUGCUCAUGGAAAAAAAUAUUUAUAUAUCUCCUUUCAAAUUGAAGACUUUUAAAAAAAUUCCAUAAAAUUUUGAUAAAUACUAUGAAUUUUAAUAUUCUCAAUCUGAAACUUUUUAUAAAAAAAAGAGAGAGAAAAAUUUGAAAUGACUUUCUGCUUUUCAAAAAUAUUCUGAUGUAUAUAAAUAUUUUGUUUUAUUAUUCAAACGAUAAUCUAUAUUUAAAUACAGCAAAUGAUUUCAGUAAAUUUAAAAUUUAAUCUAUAGAAGAACAUUUAUAAAAAAGAAAAAAAAGAAAAGUACAGGUUUUCAAAUGGCCCAACUCACACAUUAAUGGACUAAAUUUGAGAAACUGCACUUUGUACUUCAUAAUUUAUUUAUAGGCCCACCAACAGACCCCCAUACUUUAAUGCACACGUACGGUCUUAAUUGUUUCUCGGAAGUUACUUCAAUUAAUGAAUCGAAUAACAAUUCAAUAAAAUAUAAAAUAAUAUUAUUAUUAUGAAUAACAAGUCAAUAAAAAUAAGACACUUGUCAAAAGUGAUAUAUAAAUAAGAUUUAAUUAAUUCAUUAUUUCCAUCUCUAUUUCAUUUUAUUUUCAGUUUGCAUUAUUAUAUAUGAUAAGUGUCUUAUUUUUUAAAAAUUGUCGUUCCAACAUAUAAUGGUGACAUGGCAUCGGUGUUUUAUUAUAUAAUCAUUCAGAUCAUCAUCCUUAAAUUAUUUGAUCAUUUCAUAAAAAUUAUUAUUUUAUUAAUCAGUAAGUAUUAAUAAAAAGGUAAAAAUAUCCCUUAUUUUUUUAAAACAAUAUCCUUUAAAAUACUAUCUAAUCAUUCAUAUUUAAUAAUGUGAUCAUAUUAAUUUAACAAUAAAGGCAUGCGUUUUGGAUUGAGUUGUGGUUGAUUUAGUGAAUUUUUAAUUUAGGAACCAACCAAAGAAAGAGUUUAAUAAUUAAGAGAAAUUUCAAUCAUUAAAUAACAGUUCUCUAAGAAAAGUAUUCAUCUUAGUUGGUUUUUAGGAGUGUCAAAAUGGGUUUGCAGAUAGAUUUCGACAUAAACUCAUCUACCAUGCGACAUGAUUAGAAUCAACAUAAACACGAUCUGUUUAAUAAUUAUGCAAAAUUUUUAAAUAUAAACACAAAAUGCAAAUUAAAUGAAUGACACGAAUAUGACAUUUAUAAUCUGUUUAAUUAAAUAGAUCAUAUAUGAAUCCAAAAAUUCAACCAAACUUAAUUAAAUGAGUCAAAUACGGGUUAGAACAUAACACGUAUGCAUAUACAAUAUACUUAAUAUAUAUAUUAUAUAUAUUUUAAAUGGAUUAUACAUAUCGUGUUAUCACUCGUAUACGAGUGACUCAUAUAUAUAUAUAUUUGAGUCACUCGUAUACGGGUGAUAACACGAUAUGUAUAAUUCACUUAAAAUAUAUAUAAAUCACUUAUAUACAGAUCAAAACAUGACAUGUAUACAUGUAUAAUUCACUUAAUAUAUAUAUUUAUCGUAUUAUAUAUAAAUCACUAGUGUAUGCACGAAUUUAUUUGGGCUCAACUUUAUCGUGAUUAAUUUCUCUGUUAGGCAAAUCUAAUUUAUGCGUGUGAUAGCUGAUUUUAACAUCUCUACUUUUUAGAUUGCUUCAAUCAAUCAAAACCACAUAAUAUUUCCGUUUGAUUUUAUCGGAAGCAGGUUGGCAAGUGGACCCACAUAAUGUGUGGUGGUGGUCCAUAUGCUCUAAACGCUGGAUGGGACUUGGCUAUAACUGGUGUUAAUUUCUUGAUAUCUUUAAAAAAGAUUCCACGAUUGUUCUUAUACCCAGUGGCAAACAACAGUUACAUUACUCCUGCUGAACCCAAAACCUUACUACACUUCGUAUCUUACUAAAACAAAUUCUCUUUUGACCGCUUUAAAACGGACAGCACGCUCAGUACACACAGUCAAAAGGGCUACCCGCCACCCAGCCCUUUCCUUCCUUCGUCUUCUUCUCUGCAAAAGAAAAAACGCCAAACUUAUAAUAAUCAAAGCUACAAUAUUAAUCUUCCCUUAUACUUAUUCUCUUUCUUUCUUGUUUCUCAUUCUUUUCUCUCUCCUUAUAAAAUGGCUGACUUAGAAGUGCCUUUGCUGCUGCUGCAAUCGCCGCUCUCCGAUAACAAGCCCACGCGUGUUGCUUCUCUCGACGUCUUUCGCGGCCUCUGCGUCUUUGUAACUCUCCCUACUUACCUUUCGCUUUCUCGUCUUCGUUCUUCAGAUUCUCGUCCGAAUUACGUUUUACGGUUUCUUCUUCCUCAAUUUUCAACGUUUUUAUUAUUAUUAUAAGCAUUAUUUUAGUGCCUGAGCUGUUUGGUUUAAAUUUUAGGACUGUUUGGUUUAAAUUUUAGGAAAGAAAAGUUAGUUUUAACAAAAUUUCUAGCGUAACUUGUUUGUCUCAGAACCGAAAAAGUUGUUUAUGUUUGUUAUCAAUUUGGUGGCUACAGCUAAUGAUGAUUGUGGAUUAUCUGGGAUCGAUUUUUCCGAUCAUUGCUCAUUCUCCAUGGAAUGGCCUUCGCUUGGCGGAUUUUGUGAUGCCUUUCUUUCUUUUCAUAGCCGGAGUUUCUCUUGCACUUGUUUAUAAGGUAAGUAUACUACUAUAAUUAUUAUUACUUCAAAAGAAAUGCAUGUUUGCUUUAAUUAGGGAUUUUUAUAUUCUAAUUCUGUUUUAUGAAUAGAAAAUUGUUGAUUUUGACAAUUCAACGCAUUUUGUUAAUUAUCACUUCUGAUUCACUUGCUAAUUUUAUUUGGUUAAUAUUGGCUUUUAAUCUGAAAGUUCUGUUUUUAUCAGAAAGUAUCAGACAGAGUAGAUGCUACAUGGAAGGCAGUACUUAAGGCAGCAAAAUUGUUUUUCUUGGGUGUUUUUCUUCAAGGUGACACUGUCAGACAAUUGAAUUAUUGUUGUGGAUUUUAUAGCAGUAUAUAUCUAUAAUACUAUCGGGACAUACAUUUAAUUAGCAUACAUUUGUUAAAUUGUUCAUUUUUUUUCAGGUGGUUAUUUUCAUGGGAUAAAUUCAUUGGCUUAUGGUGUUGACAUCGAAAGAAUACGUUGGCUUGGCAUUCUGCAGGUACUCAAAAAUUUCUUUCUCCAUGUAUUAAUAUUUCCUUCCUCAAUACCCUUAUGCCAUGUUCGGAAAAUUAACUGUUUAUCUAUCCUAAUAGCUAUACUAAAGUAAUAUUGUUUCAUAAUACAUUCACUCAAACUCUAAGGUCAUCGAAUAGUAUUUCAAUAUUUAUUAAAACGCUAAAAGCUACAUAAAAAGUUAUCGUUGAACGGCCCUUACACCACAUGUCUAAAUUUUCACGAGUACAGAUUAAGUGAUUGUCAUUAAAGUAGGAUUAAAAGUUUCCUUCUUAAUUACAUAAACCGUAGUCCAGUGUCAUUGUUCAUUUACGUUAGUCCUAUACAUUGUUAAACUUGUUUUUGUUGUCAUUCAAGCCAGAGAAUAUCUAUUGGCUACAUUGUUGCGGCUUUAUGUGAGAUUUGGCUUUCAUCUCGACCGAUAAGAGAAAUAGGUUUCUUCAAGCCUUAUUAUUGGCAUUGGUAAGGUUUUGAUAUCUUGCAUUGGCCUUUAUAUUAUUAAACUUCAAGCAUAAUUGACAUCGUAAAAGUGUUAUGUUUAACAAUUGUAAUGUGACUUCAAUUCUUGAUUCUAUUUCACGAAAUGGCUUAAGUAACAAUACUCAUUUAUUUUCCCUCUCUCACUUGGGCCUAAUAAGCAGGAUUUUUAAUAAAUAUUUGCCUGAUUAACACACCAUUAACUCAGAUCCUUGAACAUGUAAUACAUAGAUCAACAUUCAAUUGAUAUCUUAAAAUACUAAUCAGAUGGUGAGUAUGAGCUUAAUGGAUUGAAUUGCAAUUUUUUUUUUUUUUUAAUUUUUUGGCUUUCUUUUCUCAAUUUAUUGAUGAAGCAAAAUUUUCAGGGUUUUGGCAUUUUCAUUGUGUGCAAUUUAUACGGGAUUAUUACACGGUCUCUACGUUCCAGAUUGGCAAUUUGAAAUCUCCAAUUCAACUUCUUCUGUUCUUCCAAACAAUGGCAGUUAUGUUUACUUGGUGAGAGUUUACUGAAACCUUUUUCUUUUGCUAUUAUUAUUAUUUUUUUUUUUUUUAUGCCUGUGAUUGUGUGCAUGUAUGUGAGGGUGCAUAUAGAAAUUAAAUUCAUGGAGAACAGAACCACUAGAGAAUGCUUGUCAUUAUCUAAAUUUUGUUUGCUACAAUUUUGACCAUGUUAUGAGCGCCUUGAAGCAUUUAUCUCUGGAACUAGAACUUCUAAUGUAGAUUUCUACUAGAAUUCGUCACCUUUCUAUGAAGAGCAAGUUAAUUUGCCAACACCAUAUUAUUUCAUCGUCCAAAUACUCGACUAAAACAUCAUUAGAGGAGAGAUGUGUUUUUGAAGUACAUUUUACAUACGUAAGUCAAUACAGUCAUUGCGCAUGCAUUUUCUGCUAGUAUUAUCCUUUCAAAAUGAAGUUAAAAUUUUUAUUGCUUGACGUUUGAAGUCAUGAAUUUGAAUACAUUCUUCAUAUUUUUCACAGGUGAGCUGCUCUGUAAGAGGCGAUCUUGGACCUGCUUGUAAUUCAGCUGGAAUGAUCGAUCGCUAUGUUCUUGGUAUUGAUCAUCUCUAUACAAAACCCGUCUAUAGAAAUCUGAAGGUAUUCUAUAUUGAUCUUUUUAUGGUGGUCUUUAUCCAUCCAUAUGCAAUGUAUUGAUCCCUAACAAAAAUCUCAACUUAUAGGAAUGCAAUAUGACAAAUGGCCAAGUUUCAGAGAAUUCACCUUCAUGGUGUCAUGCUCCUUAUGAUCCUGAAGGUCUAAUAAGGUAGUUGAAAUGCAUAUCAAUAAGCUACUUAUUCAAUUAAGUUGAUCAAUAGAAUCAUGAAGAGGCAAGUGACCUGUUUUUUUUCUGUUGAAUGGUAGUUGGCAAACGUUUUUUGAAGUUCAACAAGCCAAGUGGAAGAUUUAGGAGAGUCAAAGUUGAGAUAUUAUCGAAUAAUAUAUAAUAUGAAUCAAACGUACAUAGACAGAUUAUCAAAAUCGAAGUCUAGAAAGUAGGAGGAUGUCAAAAGAUGAUAAUUUUCUACUAAACAUAAUUACACAUCAAUAUGAGUCGCAUACUAUUCAGUCUUAUUUUUGACAAUUAGGUAACGCGCUAAAAUUUAUUGUGCCUACAGUUCCUUGACGGCUGCAGUUACCUGCAUUAUUGGACUUCAAUUCGGCCAUGUCCUUGCUCACGUAAAGGUGAUAUCAUAUGCAUUCUUUACUCUCCCCGUGAAUUUUCUUUUCUUAUCUUUUUCACCUGUAGUUAUUUAUGGUCACUGUCGUAUAGGAGAUUUAUAAUGAUGUGCAAAAGCAUUCUGCUUUGAGCUACAUGCUACUGCUAUUUCACGUACUAUAGAACAAUCACCAUUUUGGUAAUUGCUUGUCAAGCUUAUUGACGUUACUUGUUACACAUGCUUUUCAGGACCACAAAGGGCGGGUGGAAUGUUGGUCUUUCUUCUCAUUUUCACUUCUUCUACUUGGAUCAUCCCUCGCCUUCGUAGGUAUGCUCGUCAACAGCGCAUAACUUUUGCCUUCAAUAAGUACCUAUCGACACAUUUUUGUUAUGAAGAUAGAUAACACUUGUUGCUAUAGAAAACAUUCCAUCCUCAAAAGUAAAGCAAGGUGCUCUACUAAUAAGAACAAAUUGAUCUCCCCCAAUUUGUUCAUUUUAGCAAUCAAUUUUAGGUUCUUAGUAAAUACAUAUUGAAAGCAAAUCUUUGAUCUUCCCCUUUUGUUUUGCAGGCAUCCCCGUGAAUAAAUCUCUCUAUACAAUUAGUUAUAUGCUUAUUACUUCUGCUUUGGCAGGAAUCACAUUCUCAGUUUUGUACUUGGUGGUGAGUCAAUUCUACCUACUAUUGGAAGCAAAGCAUAAUCUUUAGCAGCUUCUUAGAUUUUCCAAGAAAUAUAUACUUGUCAGAUUUGACUUAAAAAUCUAAUUUGGUUGCUCUUGCAAAGAAGCCAACUGAAGCAUAAACCACGAGACCAUGAAAACCCUACUCUAUACUUACUGAAAAUUGAAGCAAAAGAUUAUUUUCAUCUUUCUUAACUCUGAAUCAUCACAACUUAAAAUCCCUCAAACCAAAUAUACUCCUCGUUCCUACUAUUUGACAUUUUUAUCUCUUUUUCUUACUGUUUAUAUACUGCCUGCUGUAGGUAGAUGUAUAUGGUUACAGAUGGGUGUCAUUACCGUUGGAGUGGAUGGGAAGGCAUUCCUUGAGUAUCUUUGUCCUUCUAACAUCUAACUUAAUUAUUAUUGCAAUUCAAGGAUUCUACUGGUCUAAGCCUGAAAACAACAUAGUGAGUGUUUAGAAGAUCUACUGCUUUUUAUUCACUUGCUACUAAUAUGUAAAUCCAAAGACAGCUAACACCACAUUUUUUUUCUUGUUGCCUCACUUUUUUAACAGAUUCACCAGAUUGUCGCAUCCUUCGUGCACAGAUGAUACAUAUGGUCAUUGGGUCGAAUUACAUGGUUAGAGAUUUUGAAUCUUGCUUUUAAGAUAGGGUAAAACACUGAAUUCUCUAGCCAAUCUCUCUUUUCAGACCACAUUUUAUAAUAGUGUUUUGGGAAAUCAAGGACAUAUUAUUAGUACCUAGUGAAUCUUUUUACUUUUCCCCCUCUAUAUACAAAAUGAAAGUGAUAUAUAUAAAAAUGUAUAAGCUUUAGACUAGCAAGAGCCAUUGACUGAGUACGAGGGAAAGUGAUAUUUAUAAAAAUGGGUAAGCCCUUAGACCAGCAAAGAGGUCUUUUGAGGGUGAUGGAUCAUCCAUUACCCUCGAGAACAAAACUGUGCAGACUGGAUCCAAAGCGGACAAUAUCUUGCUAGGCCUAAAAUGCCAUAUAUAAUGAGUAAAAUCACUUAACUUCUAAUAAAAUGAUUAAAUAGUUGAUGUUUUCAUACUAUAGAAACUAAAUAAUUUCUUCCAAAAAUAGAAUAACUUACGGGAUAAUGGUAAUAUUUACCCCUCUACUUACCUCUACUUACGGGAUAAUGGUAAUAUUCAGGUUUACAGAUUCAAGUGGCAGGACAAAUUCAAGCUUGAGUUAAUGUUCAAAUUAACACUCUCCUGAGGCCACUAAGAGGUUCAGCGAACACAAGGUCGCGAAGCAAUCCAAAUUCCGCAAUUGUCCAGUGUUUUUGCAUGAAAUGCGGCUCUCAGCUGUCAAGGCUUGUGCCUUGUUCUUGACAAGAGUUAUAACAUGCUCUAGACAAUAUUGUAGUCUUAUUCAAUUUUAAAUCAAUCAAGGGAAGCAAUGAAACAAUUUUAUGCAAAUUAUAUUACACUUUCCAAUUUAUGACUUGGUCUGAGGCAGAUAUUGAAUCAUGCCAAUAAAAAAAAAAUUUAAAAAAAAAAAAAAAAAAAAAAAAAAAAAAAAAAAAAAUACUGCCUGCUGUAGGUAGAUGUAUAUGGUUACAGAUGGGUGUCAUUACCGUUGGAGUGGAUGGGAAGGCAUUCCUUGAGUAUCUUUGUCCUUCUAACAUCUAACUUAAUUAUUAUUGCAAUUCAAGGAUUCUACUGGUCUAAGCCUGAAAACAACAUAGUGAGUGUUUAGAAGAUCUACUGCUUUUUAUUCACUUGCUACUAAUAUGUAAAUCCAAAGACAGCUAACACCACAUUUUUUUUCUUGUUGCCUCACUUUUUUAACAGAUUCACCAGAUUGUCGCAUCCUUCGUGCACAGAUGAUACAUAUGGUCAUUGGGUCGAAUUACAUGGUUAGAGAUUUUGAAUCUUGCUUUUAAGAUAGGGUAAAACACUGAAUUCUCUAGCCAAUCUCUCUUUUCAGACCACAUUUUAUAAUAGUGUUUUGGGAAAUCAAGGACAUAUUAUUAGUACCUAGUGAAUCUUUUUACUUUUCCCCCUCUAUAUACAAAAUGAAAGUGAUAUAUAUAAAAAUGUAUAAGCUUUAGACUAGCAAGAGCCAUUGACUGAGUACGAGGGAAAGUGAUAUUUAUAAAAAUGGGUAAGCCCUUAGACCAGCAAAGAGGUCUUUUGAGGGUGAUGGAUCAUCCAUUACCCUCGAGAACAAAACUGUGCAGACUGGAUCCAAAGCGGACAAUAUCUUGCUAGGCCUAAAAUGCCAUAUAUAAUGAGUAAAAUCACUUAACUUCUAAUAAAAUGAUUAAAUAGUUGAUGUUUUCAUACUAUAGAAACUAAAUAAUUUCUUCCAAAAAUAGAAUAACUUACGGGAUAAUGGUAAUAUUUACCCCUCUACUUACCUCUACUUACGGGAUAAUGGUAAUAUUCAGGUUUACAGAUUCAAGUGGCAGGACAAAUUCAAGCUUGAGUUAAUGUUCAAAUUAACACUCUCCUGAGGCCACUAAGAGGUUCAGCGAACACAAGGUCGCGAAGCAAUCCAAAUUCCGCAAUUGUCCAGUGUUUUUGCAUGAAAUGCGGCUCUCAGCUGUCAAGGCUUGUGCCUUGUUCUUGACAAGAGUUAUAACAUGCUCUAGACAAUAUUGUAGUCUUAUUCAAUUUUAAAUCAAUCAAGGGAAGCAAUGAAACAAUUUUAUGCAAAUUAUAUUACACUUUCCAAUUUAUGACUUGGUCUGAGGCAGAUAUUGAAUCAUGCCAAUAAAAAAAAAAUUAAAAAAAAAAAAAAAAAAAAAAAAAAAAAAAAAAAAAACACUAGAAAAGCUCUAAUAUUCGAGAAUCUCAUCGUAAAGCAAUAGUAUGAUUUACACAUUCACCCAAUACUCAGGGUUGUUAAAAUUGUGAACAUAUUUAAAUAAAUAUGAAUUUGGAUUGUAAUUAUAUCUAUUUUUAAGUGUAAUCCUUAACAUAUUUUAAAAACAAGGUGAUGUAAUUUACAUAACAUACCAGGAUCAUUAAUGUUUAAUAAUAAUUUGUUUCUCUAAUCCUCAAAUAGGACAUACCUCGGAAGCACAAGCAAUGCAAGGUACCAAAGAUGUCAAAACCAACUUGAAAUCCUGUGUGGUUUCAAAUGUUCGCAAUUCAUCAAUCAACGAGCUGCUACUUCAGUUGAUAGGAACUGCUUCCUAUCAAUAAAGAUUUAUGUUUGUUUAGAACUGAAACUCUCCUUUUCAAAUAACUCUUAACGAUAGAAAAGAUACCAACUCAAAUUUUAAGUUACCUUCGUGCAAGAAUUUCUCUGUUGAUCAAAUAAUGAGAGGCCUUAUCCAACACUGGGCAGAGACUUGACUACAAGUAACAUCAAUAGCAAUCUUGCAGUUUCCAGCUACAAAUUCAACUUGAGAUAUAAAAAGAUGCAGAUGCAUUAUAUUCUCACUUCCCAGGGAGGUCACUCCACAUCUGCCUAGCAAAGCAGCUCAUCUGUGCUAGUUGCUCACGAUUGGCUUGUAAAAUGCACCAUAUGCUACAAUCACAACAAACUUCUCUGUGCGGCUUGGGAUAGAUCAUAGUAAGUUUCUGUGUGAACGCUUCAACCUAAUAUGAAGGACAAAGAAAUCAAAAUGCAAACAUUAGAAAAUAUGCUUAAAAAACAAGUGAACAAUAGAUAUGAAGAAAACUCAAAUCCCAAGUCUCCAACGAAAUGAUUUUGUGAACUCAGACUAAACUUUCUUCAUAUCUAACAACAUAUUAGAUAUGAAGAAAGUUUAGUGAGUUGUAAUUUCCUGGCACUCUAUGUGAUUCUCCAAUCCAUUGUCUCUAGUUAACUGUGUCAUUUCGAACUAAUCCACCACUUUGUAAAGCUUGUUGAUAAAGUUCAUGCAACUUAAUUGAUGUAUUGAUCAGCAUAGCCAUUAUCGUCCCAAGCAUACUAAUUCAGGUAUUUAACCAAUCCUACCAAAGAACUAACAUAAUUGAUGAGAAACCCAAUUACGAAAAUGAUUAUGCAAUAUCAUUCAUGCAAUCUUUACUAUUUCAAUAUUGAUAACCAAUAAAUAUUCCUCCAUUUAAAUUGAAAAUUAAAUUAAAUGAUAAAAUAAGGGCAAAAUCAAGGAGUUCACAUGCAGCACUUGAUGUUGAGAUCGUGUUUUGGGGAGUUUGAGCUAAAGAUUGAUAAGGACAGAGACAAGACCUACAUACCGCCGCAUAAUCAUCAACACUAGGAGGAAUCUACCCAGCUAACUGCUGCUUCUUUCUUGAUAUUAUUCCUUUCCAUUAUUACUCUUAUUUCUGAUGCAUUUUCCCAUUGUCCCAUAUCGGCAUACAUGUUGUAUAACAAGACAUAUGGAACUGAGCUAUCUGGUUCGAGUUUCAUUAAUGCUUCAGCAGCAAUACGGGCAAUCUCUGCAUUGUUAUGGACCCUAGAAGCACCCAAUAAUGCACCCCAAACAGCCUUAUCUGGCUUAAAUGGCAUGCCAUUGAUCAAAUCCAAGGCCUCUUCAAGCUGUCCAUGCCGACCCACAAUGUCAACUAGGGAAGAGAAGUGUUCAAUCCUUGGCUCGAUGCCAUAUUCACUAACCAUGGAUUUAAAUAUCCCUCGACCUUCUUCAACCAGUCCAGCAUAAGCACAGGCAUUCAGAGCAGAAAUAAAUGUUAUAUAAGUAGGCUGCACUUUGGAAAUUCUCAUUAAUUUGAAAAGUUCCAAGGCCUCUGCAGCAUAACCAUGGGAUGCAUAUCCUCCAAUCAUUGCAUUCCAAGAAAUUACUUCUUUAUGCGGUUUCAUUUCAUCAAAAAUGGUCCAUGCCUCAAUUAUUGCCCCACAUCUUGAGUACAUCGUGAUGAGGGCAUUAUUCAAUGGCACAUCUGGGAUAACUGUCUUUCUGACCAGCUGAUGAAUCUGCAUACCCAAGUGCAGAUCCACAAUUCCAGAAGAUGCACUGAGAAGCGAAGAUAAUGUGUGUCGGUCAGGUUUCUCUCCUUCAACUUGCAUCCGAAAGAAGACCUUAAUUGCUCCUUUAUAAUCCUCCUUCUUCUCAUGCCCCGCAAUCAUGGAAUUCCACGACACCAAAUUCUUCUGGGGCAUCCUCUCAAAAAACUCAUGAGCAAGUUCCAAAUUACCUACCAGGGCAUGUCCUGAUAUCAUUGAAUUCCAUGAAAAGGAAUCAGGAUUUGGCAUUUUGCAAAAGAGGUUUGACGCCUCCUCCAUAUCUGAGACAUGAACAUAUCCACUAAUGAUGGUAUUCCAUGAAAAAGUGUCUAGUACAAUCAUUUGGUCAAAGAGUUCCCUAGCAGAAACAAUAUCUCCAGCCUUCACAUAGCACAUUAUCAUGGUAUUCCAUGACACCACAUUUCUCUCAAACCUCCCUUUACUUCCUUUUUGUUUGUCAUUAUUACUUGGCAUCUUAUCAAAAAGUUUCCGAGCUUCAUCCACCCUUCCUCUUUGACCAUAUCCCGCAAUCAAAGUAUUAUAAGCAUGCACCAACUCCUCUUUCCCACUAUUAUUAUUUCCAUAGUCAAGCAAAAUUUUUGCAGCUUCCUCAAGCUUCUCAUUAUGAAUAAGACCCGAUACAAGUGCACUCAACGAUGUUGAAUCCCUCUCUGGCAUUCUCUCAAAAAACUCAAUUGCACGCGCCACAUCACCAUUUUGCAAAAAACCAGAAACUAUAGCAUUCCAAGAAACAGCAUUUGGCUUAGGCAUUGUAUUAAAAAGCUGCAGAGCCUCCUCUAUUCUCCCAUUCCUUGCAUACCCACUAAUCAUUGUGUUCCAAGAAACGCAGUCCCUCUUUGGCAUUUUAUCAAACAAGCACCUUCCCUCCUCUAUAAACCUCUUCCCACGACAUGACACAUACCCCGAAAUCAUCAAAUUCCACGACACAACAUCCCUCUUUGGCAUUUCAUCAAAAAGCUUUCUUGCUUUAGUCAUCUCACCCUGUCUCGCAUACCCACUGAUCAUUGAGUUCCAUGAGAUGGUGUUUCUUUGCUCCAUUUUAUCAAACAAUGCCCUUGCAUCAUUAAUCUGACCUGUCUGGUUGAAACGCGUGAUUUUUUUAUUCAGGGAAAACAAGUCUCUGUCGCAAUCAUUAAAUGAACUCUUUGAUUUUGGAGCCGAUGCAAAACAGCUAGCUUCUAUGCUGAUGUAUGGCUUCCGUCUAGUCUGAAGCUUCCAUUUGCAUGAUGCGCCAAGGGCAAUUCUCAACCUGAGCAUAAUUUACAGAACAAGUUUACUGAACCUCUAAGAUUCAUUCAGCAACUGAUGAAUUAAACAAUCAAACUUUUUAUCAGAAAGUUAUUCAUUUUCUUAAUAUAUUUAGUUUUGCUCAGGUCACAUCACACGCUUGUCACACUCUUAACUUCUGAAACCAACAAAAAGAAUUAGGCGGUUUCAAAAAACGGUCAUCUAAUGGAACCUGCCAUAUUUGUCAAGCUAACUAAGAGUUUUCUUCACCUGUUCAACCUAUAAAAAUUUUUAAAACAAUUAUAAUCUACUAAAAAAAUAUUUUUUUUUUUAUAAAACUAAUAAUUGGCUAUAAAUAAAGGACAAUAUAAUUACCAAACCAGAAAUUACUAAUGCCACAGCUAGAUAUGUUAUUGACUUUUGAUUUGACAAUACUAUCUUAUAUGUAAGACGAUACUAUCCUUAUAUGUAAUAUUCUAAAUUUAUCAUUUUAUACUCUUAAAACUAUUCUUAUUAACUUCAAAUCUAUUCAUCUAUUUUUAUAUCAAUUCCAUACACAAUUUUUUCAUAUAGCCGACCCCCACUAGUUUGGACCUAAGGCUUGGUGGUGGUGGUUGUUUUUCCAUAUACAAUUUUUUCAAGAGAGAAAUAUUAACUUUGACAAACAUAUAAUAGCUAAACCUAAUACUUGUUUCAUCCUAUUAAUUAAUAAUGAAAAUUCGAAAAUCAGGACAACAAAAUUUAAAUGCAGAAAUAAAUAAAUAAAUAAAUAAAAUGAAAUUCUCAAGAAUACAUAUCAAACUAAAAAAUUUAAUUGUCUUCUUUAAUAAAAUAAUAAAAAAUGAACAUUAUUUUUCCCCAUUAAAUUUAUUCUUCUAAAUCCCUGAAAAUGUUAUUUUCCAGUUAACUCUGGUACCUGUUUAUAAAAUUAAAAAACAUUUCACAUGAACUAUAUAUUUUAGCUGCUUUUAAAAAUUUCACAUGACUAUACCAAAAUUUCCCUAAUCUCAGUUCCUUUGCAACCAAAACAUUUUUCCAUUCCUAUGGUUUGUUUAUUAACUGAACUAGCCAGUAUCUUACUGGUAGAUAAUUUGAUUUGGUAUAAUUUACUCAAAAAUCAAGUUGAAAAAAAAAAGCAGAACAUAUAUCCUCUCUUAUAAAAUGCUUACCGUGAGGAAAAUGAUAAAAUUACAGUCACGCAAAGAAGGCAAUACCAAAUAUGGAUUUUCUUUCUUUUCUUGCAUGUUCCCAAACAACUAAAGUGAUCUCUAGCCAUAUUUUCUCAGCCACCAAAAAAUUAGAAAAUAUAAUUACAGAAUUCUUAAUAUGCAAUUCGCAAAGUAAAACAAAUUAAAGAAGAGCUAAAAAAUGAAAAAGAAGGAUUGCUCACAUAGAUGUUGACAGUGAACUAAGUCGCUGCAGGACUGCACCUGCCAACAUAUUGAAUGGUGGUCAAAGACCGCUUUUGCUUCCUCCCAUUUUGAUUACUGCACAAAAAAUACCGGCAUAAAGGCUGUCAAGUAAAAGAGAUUCUCUAGAUUUCUGUCUCAGAUUCUAUAUCAAACAUGAAAAUAGAAAUUUGAGGCAAACGACAAUCAAUUUAUCUAAGAAAAGAUGAGUAAACAAAAAGUUAAAGUGAAAUGUGUCCAAUAAUGAACCUGAAUUCACAAAAUCAAAAAUAAUUGUUGCCUUCUUCCCUUCUAACUCUUCAAAAUUUCAGCUCUUUCAUUCAAAAUCUUCCCAAUCUCUUGCUAAUUCUGGAUAUUCAUGGAGUCUGGAAUCAAACGGUUAACAGAGAGGGUAGUUUCAUUUUUAUUUCAUCAAAAUUUGAUGAAAUGGAACAAAACUUGGGAUUUGGUUUGGGAAAUCACAAGGAAGUGUUGAAUUGAGAAGAAAAUAUUUAGAACUUUGAGAAGAGGACUUGGGUUGGUUUUUUGCUUAGUGACAUAAACAGGUUAGGAGGAAUGUGGCCUUUUUUUCACUCUUUUUUUGAAUGAAUUUCAAUGUUUAAGAGUAAAAGGUCAUAAAAAAAUUUAAUAAUAGUUGGACUUGUGCGGAGCUCGCCCGCAUGCAAGGUCCAACUUUAAAUAAAUAAUUAGUCAUUUAUCAGCAUAUUGUGGAUGGCAACGGGUCAGGUACACAAAAAGUGUCGUAUCCCAAUCCAAACUCACUUAAAUAUAAGGUACCUGAAUCCAUUUAAAAAAUUACCCCUGCAUUACCCAUAUUCGUCCCAAAUUGAAUUAGCAUUACCCAUUUGCAAUCCGGAUUCAUAGAAACAACCGUUUAACACAAAAUGAACAAAAUGCAUACAACACACAAUACACUAAACUGUAUAAACACUUGAUUAUUAUCGAACCCUUAUAAAAUAAAGAAAAUAGCAUGCUGUUAUUUUUACCACUCCAAUUGUCAGAAAUUGUAUGUAAUUACAUAGUUUUUACAAUUCAAAGAAACUUCAAGAAUCUACUAACUUAAUUAUAUAAUGGAGAGCAAGAAUGAAUACAUUUAAACUCCAGGUCUACGAAUAUGUGGCCUGUAAGUAUUUGGUCAAUAUAGUUUCUUGAAUCCCUGGACAAAAGAGACAGCUUAUUUGAUGAAAGUAAAAAUUAUUUAACUGCUGAAAAAGAAGAAUGCAUAAUGCAAUAAUGCAAUGUAUAGAGAAUGUAUAAUACAGUGUUGAUAUAUGGUUGUUAUUAGUUGUGUUUUCCAAUGCUUAUUUGUAGCAGUUCAUAUUAGUGAAGGUCUCACUGAUUACCUAAAUAAACCAAAUGAAAUAUAGGCAAUUUGAAUUAAUUAGUAAUCUUUAUUUCCUUGUGUAUGAGCUAAUGGAAAAUUUCUACAAAGGAGAGAGGGAGAAUAUGAAGAAUCAAUGUUAGAUUGUUGUUCCAGGAUUAGAUUUCAUUCCCAUCUGAACUUUGGCAGUCUUACAAAUCAGUUUCUAAUUUUGUGAAACUUAUGAAAAUUGUUCUGCAUGCCUACUGUAUAAAGUUUAUGCAUCUUUUGUCAGUUCAACUAAAGAAAAUAACACAUGCUGAUUUUACUUUAAAUAUUAAAUAGUAGCAUUUUUACGGAAAAGCCUUACCCUACAACCUACUGAGGAUGAUUUUGAUCAGAAGAUACAUAUUUAUUGAUCAAUCGUUUAGGUUUUUCAAUGAAAUUUUUGAAAUGCAUUUAGAAUUAAAUGCUUAACAGAAUCAUUUAGAUCUUUAGAAGUUAAGGAUUUUAAUCAACUUGCUUCAAUUUCACUCAUUUAUGUAUAAUUUUCUUGGUGUCUUUGCAAUUACAGAUACCAUCCAACACUUAAGUACAAAGAAUUCUGUACACUGGGAUGAUUCUAUUGUCAUUAAACUUGUUUUGACCGGCAUUUUAAGGAACUGAUUUUUCUAAACAAGAUUUACAAUCAGCAACAAAGAUAAAAAGAAACAAAAGAAAAGAAAUAAAAACUGCAGAAACAGGACAAGACAAAACCAGCAAAAAGAACAAAAGGAAACCAAAAACCAAAAAGAACUAAAGCGGCAAAACCAAACCAAAGAAUAAAAUAAGGCCCAAAGCAGCAGUAACAGUUUAAAAAAAAAAAAAAAAAAAAAAGAAAAAAGAAAAAAAGAGCAUAAGAAACCAAUUAACUUAGUCUAUCAUAUCAACGGCUAUUUACAUUCACAAAAUCAAACCACAUACUCAAUUUACAGUAAAGUGAAGAAAACAAAAAACGAAAUUAUUGACAGAGCUUUAACUUUAACAGUAACAAAAAUACCUUGCGAUUUGCGAGCCACAGAGCUAGUCUUGAACGAGACACAGAGCUUGUCGGCGGAGAUCGCCGCUCUUGAGGCGCGCUCGUCACUCGUCGGAUAAAAGGCAACAGGCAAAUCGAAGAUGAGAGACUAAGGCAACAAGAGAAAAAAUCAGAUCGAGGCAAAACUACUGCCUCGCGAAGAACGAAUUGAACUUUGAUUUAAAAAGUUAAUUCAAAACGACGUGGUUUGGUUAAGGCAUUUUCUGUGUCAAAACUUCGUCGUUCUGGUAGUGAAGUGUUAGUUAUUUUCUUCCUUUCUUUUUCUGGCCUAAUACAGAGAGAUAAUUAAAAUUUUAUGUAAUUCAGUUAUAAAUUUAAUUUUUAUAUCUGAUAUGCAAAAACUAAAAAUUUAAAUUUUGUGAAUUUAAUUCUAUAAUAUAAUUAAAUUAAAUUUCAUAAAAAAGUGAAAUUUUAGAAUGAAUUUCAUAAAUUUAAACAAUAUAUUUUCGCAGAUAAUAGUAGAUAAGUUCUUGAUGGGCUUAAAUCUAUGUUUCUGUAUUUUACACAACCAGCAAUUGAACAGAAAAAAAAAACAUUCGACCAUAAAAUGACAAGCAUCUAUUCCAAUCAAAAUUAUUAGUGAUCCAAGUUAUCAAAUGGGCCUCAAAUAUACACAAAGCCCAAACACAACAGAUACACACUCAUCAUCCUUAUAUUUAUUCAUCAAGUGGGCCCAAGCCAGCAGGAGGCGGUUACCAAAUGUACAAAGUUAAAUAUAUAGAGUAGAUACAACAGCUGCUAGCAUCUGCUUCUUGAAUGUUUUCACUGUAUUGAACUAUUCUACAAUACAAUUUUUGUCUCCAUUAAUACACUGUUUCAGUUUUCUCUUUCUCUGGUGAAGAAUGCUUUGAUAAUCUCAUCAGUUAGCAAACCUCAAUAAUCUUUUUUGUUGUUAAAAUUUUGAUUAACAGCCUAGCCUGAUAUGGUGGUGACAAUUCUAAAUGAAAACAUAACCAAUAAUUAAAAAAAAAAAAAAAAGAAAUAAAAAUACCUAUGCUUUUAUUGUGUUUCAGCCAUUCAUUUUGUUAAGAUUUGAUGGGAGGUUUAAAUUGAUAUAAUCUUAAAUUCAUAUAUUGAAUUGAAAAAAUUACGAAAUCAAAUCGAAGAAAAAGUAAACUUUCUUUUUAUUUGAUGCAAAUUGAAUUGCUUAGCGUGACUAAUAAACUACAGGCCCAUUUUGGCCCAUUCUCCAAAUUUUGGGCCCUCAUACUGGGCCUAAACGCACUCGUACUUUUACCCAAUUCCUCUUUGGCAAAAACCCAUAACUAUAAAUUUCCAUCUAUCUCUGGUAGGAAAAAGAUAAAAUUCCAACUAGUCCAUGAGGUUCAGCCAACUGUACAGUUUCAUCCCAAUAUUUAAAAAUAAAAGGAAUUAAGGAGUCCCAAAAUUUAAUUCCAUUAAUGAAAUAAUAUUUUUAUUUCCAUAGACCUGGUUUAGGUAGGUCUAAACCUUAUUAUAAUUAAUAUUAAUUAACCAAUAGUCAAUAAAUAUUUUUUUGAAAAAUAUAAUUCAUUAACUAUAAUAUCAAACAUUACGAAUAAUCAUAUAGAUCAGACAAUGAAUUUUACUAUCAUAAGCUAAUAGAGUUCGUUGAUCUUUUAACAAGCUAAAAUAAUUAUAUAUAUUCUUUUGAAUGAUAAUACUAAAUAUAAGAAAAUAUAAUAUUAUAUCUUUCCACUUGAAGAUGAUCUUGAUAAAAGAUAUAAAUAUUCUUAUUACCAACUAGUUUUUUAAUUGAUUUGGAUAGUAAAAUAAUAAUUACUUUGGAUCUUUUAUAUCUGAAUUGUUUUUAGCUAAAUUGUUUUUUCAAGGACUUGUAAUAUAUAACAUACACAUAUGAAUUCUCGCCAACAUACAUCAAUAGUAUCAAUAGAGGAACAAGUCGCACUAUUAGACUUCGUUGAUCAAAGAUUCACAUUUACAAAUCAAUAUCAAAAGUUUCCAACCAAAUAAAAUCAAAUAUUAUACUUUUAUUUAUAAUAAACUCUCAUACAGAAGGAACAAAAAGCUCUAAAUACGGAAACAAAAUAACAAUAAUAAAAAUCAAAACAAAUAUAUUAUAUGAUAAAUAGAUAUGAAUUUAUUAAAAUGGCUAAGAGAAUUUAAAAGAGAAAAAGAGAAGAAGUUGAAUCAAAGGAAAAAAAUAGAAUGUAGGAGAUUAUCACUAAUCAACAUCAAGCGGCCACAAACUAAAUUUUUAAACAUUUUAUAAAUUUCAAUCAAUGACUUCGUUAUUUUAGGUGUCUCGUCAUGCCGAAGAGAUAAUAAAAAAUCAAAAUUCGAAAGACUCAAGAAAGAUCAUCUUUUCACCAUUCAUAUUUAAAUAUAAUAUAUAUAACGGCAGAGCUUCUUAUGGUCGAAAGGUCGCUGGGCAAUUCUAAGAAAUUUUUUUUAAAAGAAAAAUUCUUAUGAAAUAUUAUAUUUUGGUCUUUAAAAAUAUAAAAAAAUUAUAUUUUGAUACCCUAAAAGUUUUUAAAACUUCAUUUAGCUUGUUUAAAGUAAUUGUCUUAGUUCUGUGCUGAAUAUAUAUAUAUAUAUAUAUAUAUAUAUAUAUAUAUUAAAUAUUCUAUGUAUUAUCCCUAUCACAUUUGCAUUGAUAACCAGGACAAGAAGCUUGUAGCCAAAUGUUAGAGUACUGACAACUAAUUCCCACUGUGAAAUGUUUUAUUAGCCUCUGAUCAUCAAUGAUUAAGUGGCCCACUUGUUUUAAUUUGUCCAGAACUUAUGGAAUAAUUAAUCAAGUAUUAAUAAUUAUUUUUGGAAGCGAACAUUCUAGAUAUACCUUUUUUCUCUUGUUCAGCUACUGCAACAUUUUUGUUGGAGAAUCAAGAACUUAUGGCUUAAAAUAUUCGCAUAUACUAUAUUAAGUACUCCCAUCUUCAAAAUAGUUCAUUUUCUAUUUUUACACAGAUUAAAAAAAUAAUAAUUAUUAUGAGUUUUGACAAUUCUAUUCCUAUAACUUUUCUAUCAUACCAUUUUAAAUAACAUAUGAGCAAUUAUUAUAUUUAAAUAAUAAGUAAAAAUUAAUGAGGGUUAUUGAAAAUAAGAAAAAAUUUAAUAAGGGUAUAAUAGACAAUUUCAUGAUUAACUAUAAUACAAAAAAGAAAAAUAAACCAUAUUUUAGGACAAAUUAAAAAGAAAAGAUGAAAUAUUUUUUUGAGGCAGAUCUAUUAUUCUUCUCACAAUAAUGAUUUUAUAAGUACAGUUUUUUUUUUUCUUUAUACUCAAAUGAUAUGAGAAGCUAAUUUUAUAAAAAACGAAGAUUAAUUUGUCUUUGAAUUUGUUUAAUAGGAUAAAAAAUGUCAAGAUUUGAUCUUUUUAGAUCAAUUUAACAUCUAAACUUAUUUAAAAUAAUUAAAAAGAUCAGAUUUAAUAUUUUGGAUUAAUUUAGUCCCUGACUAUUCGCUGUAUUUAUAACGUGAGAAUUCUUAUAUAGACAUUUAUUAAAAUUAUAGUUGGAAUCACGUGGUAUAAUUUAUUGAAAAAUUUAAUUAAAUAUCAAAUUGAGGAAAUAAUAUAUGAAAUAUAUUAUAUCCCUCUUUAUCUUGAUCUAUCAUUUUAAAUUCAUAAAUAUGUACUAAUUUAAAUAUUUUAAAAUUGAACUUUACUACUAGAUUAUUGCAUAUGCAGUUCAUGCAUUUCUCAUGUUAAACGAAUUCAAAGUUACACUACAUAUUUUAUAAAUUUACUGUGUUAAAGAAAUAAUAUUUUCGUGAUUUUAAAAUUCUAUUCAGAAGUAUUGGAAAAGUUUGAUCUAGAUAUUCCUAUUAAAUUGAAUCAAUUUAUUAUUUUGUAAAAAUCAAAAUAAAUUUAGUGGCUGAAUUGAUUUAAAAAAAAUCAAAUCUGACUUUUAAAUCCCAUAAAUAAGUUCGUGAGCUAAAUUAGUCUUUAUUCCAUUUUAUAACCACAAAGUCGUGUUUAAAAUUUUAAACAAUAUGGUUCUUAUGUUGCCUGUAACGGUUUCGUAUGCUCUAGUAGCUUUCUCUCUUUUGUCCAAGGUUUCUUGUCCUGCCAACAUGGAGAGGGACUUUAAUCAUUUGUCAAUCGCUGAUGAUGAGGAAGAAGGCUUGCCUGUUAACGCAUCUUCAGAUGCCACCAAGUCUACCUACGAAUUUUGUCUUGUCGACAUGUUCUUGACUUGCGGGACUGUGAAUUUUUAGUCCAUGCGAAACACUUUCGCAGAUUUGUGGCAUUCGCUCGGAGGGAUUAUAAUUACUGAUUUGGGAGCCAAACGUUUUCUGUUUCGGUUCUACAACAAAGUGGAUUUGGAUAGGGUUUUGAAUGGUGCCCCAUGGACUUUUAAUCGACACUUGCUGGUAUGGGGUCUGAUAAAAAAUGAUGAGGACCCGCUGCUGAUUCCUUUGCUAUACUCGGAUUUCUGGGUUCAGGUACAUAACUUGCCGGUCGGGUUAAUGUCUGCGGCAGUGGCCAAAUCAAUAGGGAAUUUCAUUGGUACUUUCAUUGAAUAUGACAUUAAGACUGUUCAUUUUGAUCCCAAUCAAUUUAUGAGACUGCAGGUUAAGUUGGAUAUUCGUACCUUUACGUAGAGGAAAGAAGUUGAUUGAUUCUAAUGGUAAUGUUCAUUAUGUCCAAUUCCAGAAUGAAAAACUUCUUGUGUUUUGCUAUACUUGCGGUCGCUUGGGACACACCGAUUCGUUCUGUAAAUUACAAUUGCACAAGUCUAAAAAAGAACUCAAGCCAGCUUGGGAUGAUCGAAUAAGGGUGCCGAUUCGCCGGAAAAUUCAGCAAACAACCAUGGCUGCAUGAUGAUAGAAAGUUUGAUGAUACUCCAAUCCAGGCAGAUAUUUCGGGAUGUGUGGGCGGGAAAUAUGGAGUUUUGAAAUCCCAACAAUUUUGAGCUUCCUUUUAUGGCACGAUAGUUAAUUUUAAUGUUAGUACUAAUCCCAUAGGCUUUAUGGAGACUGAUACAAAUUCUUUGAAUGGGUCCAAUACUGAUGGGCUUGACGAGGAUGUGGUCUUAGAAGAUGUGGGUGAAAUGAAGAAGAGGCCCCGAUGAUCCUUUUUGGUGAGGGUAUUAAAGUGGCUAGUGAUCCUUGAGGAGGAUCCUUUUUGCUGUAGAAUCAACGUGGUAGCUCUACUGUGGAUAUUGCCGUGAAGUACCUAUCGAAUUGGAGAGAAGUGUGUCUGCCACAUGAAGCUGCUGUGACGUCCAUUUCAGUGCUUCAUUGACAUGCACAUAAAGCACCAUCCAUUCACGCUCACAAUUUUGUUUGGAUUUGCUUCAUUGAUGGAUCAGUGUUCACAACCAUGGAUUUCAUUGGCUAUGCUUAUGUUAUUGAGGACAGUGAGGGACGGUUUCAACGUGCAGUGUCAGGGUUUCAGGAAGGCAAUGGCUCGGCGGUGGUGAUGGAGGCUAUAGCUCUUCGUUCCUGCCUUUCAUAUGCUCGUGAUUUUCUAUCUUUAAAUGGGUGUAUUUUUUCAAAUUGCCAAAAUCUUAUGAAUGCUCUCAAAUCCCAUUGUUUUAGAUAAUUUUGAAUUUGGUUUGAUUGUUCUUGAUUGUAAGCGAAUUUUAGAGUCUAGACAUGAUAUUACUGUCAGGUGGAUUCAGAGACAAGCUAAUAUGGAUGCUCACACUCUUGCUAGAGCAUCUAUACAUCAUGCUCGUUUCCAAAUUUGGGAUGAUGUUCGUCUUGUUAGUUAGAUUUUUUCCAUUGAGAUAAUGCAAUAUUAUUUCAUUUAAAACAAAUUUAAAACAAUAUAUAAAUUUUAUCAAACAAAUUUAAAUUAAUAACUCUAAAAAAUUUUAAUUUUUAGAUAUUAAAUGGUGUUAUUAGAUGUAAACUAAAUUUAUAUUGUUAUUUCAAUUUAAAUGUCUAAACAAAAUUCUCAAAUUCUUUUUUUGUUAAUAUUUUUUUGGAGAAAUAUAAUUCAUUAAUAAUAAAAGUAUUACAAAUACUCAAUUAGAUCAAAUAUAAAACUUAUUAUCAUAAUUAAUAAAAAGUUCGAUGAUCCUUCAACAAUAAAAGAAUUAUCUAUAUUUUUUUGAAUAGUAAAACUAAAAUUAAAAGAAACAGUUGGAGUUUUCCGCUUGAAAAAAACUUUGAUCGAUAUAAAUCUUCAUAGUAACAACUGAUCCUUUAAUUGAUUUGGACGAUAAAAUAACUUUUUCGAACUUUAUAUGCUUGGAUUGCUUUUUCAAAAAUUUGUUGCAUAUAACAUAUGCGGAUGAGUUUAAACCACUAUGGGUUAAUAGCAUGAAUGAAGGAACAGACUGUACUAUCAGGUUCCAUUGGUUGAAGAUACACAUCAGUAAAACAAGAUCGAAAUUCUCCAAUCAAAUAAAAUCAAAUGUCAUACCUUUUAAUAAUAAAUCUUCACAAGGAACUAAACCCUCUCAAAAGAAUGGGCAAAAAAACUCCAAAUAUGGAGACAAAACAAAUCAAUAACAAAAACAACAAUAACAAAAAUAUAUCUAUUAGAAGAAAAUGGAUUUGAGUUUAUUAAAAACAAAUAAAAGAUUAGGAGCCAGAAGAAAAAAAAAAAAAGUAUGGGGCUACUACUGAUUAACAAUGGCAACCUCAAACAAAAACUAUGAUUAAAUAAAUCAGAGAGAAAAGAGGAGGAGAGAAACCCUAAAACUAUCGAUUUUUUUUUUGUUAAUAUUUAAAAUGACGGUUUUUUUUUUUUUUUUUUUUUUUUUUGCGAAUGUUAAACAAAUCCCUAAAUAGUAUAGGUAAUAAAAUAAAAAAAAAUAUGUAUCACUUUAAUAAUAAUUUCAUGUUAAAAAAUGUUGGAAAAAUAGAGCUCUUGAAUAGGAAAAUCCGGUAUCGAAUUUUUGCUCUGCUAGGGUUUAUCACUUUAACAUUUAAAAAAAAAAAAAAACUAUUUUCAAGACAGUUCAUUUUCUAUUAUUUCUUUUUAAUAUUGAAUAUUAAUUAAAUAACUUACUUUUAAAAAUAUUUUUCCUUGACUUUUUUAAACACUUUAAAUAUAGAAAAAAUUCAAAAAUAUUUUUUAAAUAAAUUAUUUUCAAGAAAAAAUCUUGGAUAAUGGAAAUUUGGAAAAUUAGAUAAAUAAUAAUAAAACCUUAUGCACAGCAAACAUUUGUUAUAUGGUGUCCCAAGAAUAGUAAAACUUGUGGCUGAAUUUUGUAUUUCUUUUUUAGAUCACUCUCUAUCACGCUCUUAACAAUUCCCAUUUGCUGAAGUGGUCCCCAUAAAAGUAUUCUUGAUUGAGAUUUGAAUACGAAUUUCAAUUAAGUAAGCUUCAAGUUACAAACAUCAUCUUCACAAAAUUUCCUUCAUUGGUGAAGCAUUUAUCAUUUGGUAAGUUUUCUCAGAUUUAACACUAUGUUUGGAAUUGGGAGAUUUUAUGAUAGGAAGAAAAUUUUGAAUGGAAAAUAAGAAAAGAAAGCUAUUUUCCUCCUGCUUAAAUGUAAAUAAAAUUUGAAAGGAAAGAAAAUAUUACCAAAAUCCUUUCUGUCCCAUAUUUUAUUAAUCUCUCCAAAUUGGCGAGAAAAUAGGAGAUAAAUGUAUAAAAGGAUAGAAGUGUAAAUUUACAACAAUACAAUUUUCUUUCCUCCAUAUUUUAGACUUUUCUAAAUAAUAUAUAUAUAUAUAUAUUUUUUAUUUUUUUUUUUCCUUUCAAUCUAAACAUAAAAUGGAAAAUAAAGAAAAAAAGAGCUCUUGUUUUACUCGGCACAUGUACAAAAUAUAAGACAUCAAUGUGUUGAACAUGCAAAUCCCAUGCAUGUAUCUGCCAUGCAGGGAUUCAUAAUUAGCUCAACUGAAAAAUUGUUAAGAUCUUUCUUCAUUGUCUUUUUGUCAUAUAAAAAAACACGAGAAAAAUAAAAUAAAACAAGAAAAGGAAGCGCAUGCACAUGCCUGUAAAUGUAUAAUAUACAUCCAUCCAAAUGGGCAAAGAUUAGAUGCCUUCUCACCAUUUUUCCGCGCAUCCAAAACCGUAAGGGGCCACUCACACUUGAUGUGCAGGAUACUUAAAUCAGUUACGCAGCCAGAAAAUUAAAAUUAGAGAUAAAAAAAUUUUCAAGAGUUAACAAGAGUGAGAUUAAAAAUUUUAUUAUUUUAAAAGGAAAAAUAAAAAAUUUUAUUAUUUUUUAUUAUUAGACUAAUUUUAAAAGGUAAAAUAAUAUAUUUUCAUAUAUUAUUAGACUAAUUUUAUUUUAAAAUUUAAUAUUAUUUCUUCUAAGUAUUUUUUUAUGAAUAGAAAUUUUAAUAGAGAAUUAGAGAUCAUCCACUGGAUUUAAAAGUUAAAAUAUAUUUAUAAAUUAUUUCAUCUAUUACACUUAAAUUAUCAACUUGUAGCUUCUUCAUACAAAAUAAGGAGAUAAUUAAUUUAUCUUAAAUCUAUAAAAUUUUCAUUUGAAAUUAUUUUAAUAUUUAUUUUAUAAAAUAUUAUUAAGAGCGAAUGAAUAGUGAGAUCCAAUAAAGAAGAGUAAAAAAUUAAAAAUGUAAUAUACUCUUUUCUAAAUUAUAUAAAAAAAUGACACUUAAAAUAGAACAAAAAAAAAUCUUAAAAGUUAAACAGAAUAUCGGAAGUAUAAAUAAUAGAUUUUAUUUUUUAUUUUUUAAAAAUCGAAUUAAUCAGAGCAAUACUAACAAAAUAAUAUUGUAAAGUUACUUAGGACAUCCCUUCCUCUUAUCUCUCCGUGUGGUCGCUUUCAUUGGCUUCAUAAUCAUACACAUAUUCAUGGCCCACUUACGAAGCCAUCUCACAACCACAAAAUAUAAUUUUCAAAAGAAAAAUGACCGUUCGGACAGCUUGUUAAGUUUUUCCACACUUCUUCCUCACUUUCCCACUCUCUAUAACGGCUACAAUAGAAGGCUCUGGAACAAUCUACCUGUUUUAAGACGGCGGGACACGUGUAACCAAUCACAUGGGCUGCUUUUGCUCGAAAAUGGAGAAGAAUAAGCUGUAGUGUUACUCUUAGAUGUGAAUUAUUUGCUUCAAAUGAUGCUUUAGUUGUUUCUAGUGAAAAUAGAGCAAUAGUAAUUUUUUUUUUUUACCAUUUAAUAUGAUGUACAAUGAAUUUUUUACACUAUGUACUAUUAUGCAGCAGUUACAACAUUUUAAAGUCCAUCAAAUAGUAUAAUCCAUUAGAAAAUCCAAUAAAUUUCUCAUUGCUCUUUUGAAUAAUAUUUACUAUAUUUGUGCAUAUUAAUUAUUAAAAAAAAUUUAUUUACACCCGGUGUUUGGAUCUAUUUAUACAUCAAAUCAAUCACAAAUAAUAUUUUGAUUUAAUCAAAUGUAUUUCUAAUCAUAUAUUAAAAAAAGAUAAAAUAAUAAUUUUUUUGAUUGGUUUACUGAAUGAGACUACCCAUAUACUAAGUGUUGAUAAAAAUUUCCUUAAUUAUUAUAGAAAAGUUAGAAAUAAUUCAAUCGCUUUUCCUUAACUUACUUUUUUGCACUUAAUGUAAUAAAAAAAACUUCAAAACUUUAAUAAUGUAAAAUGAUUCUUACUAAAUUGUAUAGUUAAGUCUAAUAGGAUUGUUGAGACUUUGGUUCUUAAUUUAUGAAAUUUCAAUUUUUAUCCUAAAAAAAAAAAAACAAAGUAACAGGAAAGCUCAUAUAAAUGAACAUGCAAGAGAAAAAAAAAUCAUUUUUUAACUAAAGUAAAUUAUUGCAUACUUCCCUCCUAGAUUACUCUGAAAAAUAAAAAAUAAAAUACACAAAAUUAAAAAUAUACGAGCUUUGUUAACAGAUACAUAUUACGUACAUUUACGAUUACAUUCUUAGCAUAAUAUCAAAAUUUUCAAAAACAUUACAGUUCUUUUAUUCUAUUUACAUUGUAAGUAUCUCUCUACACAGAUUAUGCCAAAAAUACUUUUUGAAUAUCAGUUAAUCAGAUUUAAAAUAGAAUCAGGUGCAGGUGAUAUUACUUAAAAAAAUAAUAUUUCACUGUGCCACGGCAUAUAAGAUAAAAGUGUAAUCGGCAUAUAAGAAGGCACAAAAUCAAGAGAGUUGACAUGAAUGGACUGCUGUUGGGAGUGUGAGUUGGACGGAUUUGAAAUAAAGAUAAGAGGAAAGGCAUAGGUGGGACCUGUUUACUGUGCCACAGCAUGAACCGUGAUGUUUUUUGCCAGCUGGUGGACACGUGAUUCUUGAUUAGUUCAAUUACUGCAUUUGAUCAAACAUGGCCCCACUCUUUGAAUAUUUAAUUUAAGAAAAAAACCCAACCAGAACACCUCAUAUUUCCUGACUGAAAUGCUUGCUUGCUGCGGGCUACUACAAUAUAUAAGAUAUAUCUAUACUGAAACCCUUUAUCUUUAAUUGGCAUUAUUAAAAGAUUUUGUAACCUUACACCGUGGAAAUACUGGAAAUGACAAUUUUAACUCAUUUAAAUGUAAAAGUUAAUUAACAAAUUUAUUUUGGAUAAUUUAUACAAAAUAUGAAUAAAUAUUGUAUUUCUAAAAUAUAAGUCGUUUAAAGUAUUGCAUGCGAUUAAUGAAUCAAUUAAUUUCGCUAAAAAUUAUAUCACUCCGUCUCAAAAUUUAAGUUGUCUAAGGUGAUAAUUUUAUCACAAAAUAUAAGUCAUUUUGAAUAUUUUAAGAAAUUACAAAUGAUUUUUUUUCUUUCAACUGUAUCCUUAUUUAUAUUAGAUAUAAUACAACGAUGUGAGAUAAAAGUAACAAUGAGAGAUAAAUGAUAAUUUGUUCAAAUUACUCUUGAUUUUGUUAGAAAUUUAGAAAAAUUAAUUGCAUUUUUAAUUCUCGUAUAAAAAUCUUAAACGACUUAUAUUUUGGACAAAUAGAGUAAUAAACUCAACAAUAAUUUGAUUUAUGAGAAUUAAUUUAAACGAUCAAAUUAUCCUUAAUCUCAAAAUCAAGUUAUUGUAUUAUGAAUAAAGUUAAAAUUGGAAAAAAGAUUAUUUGUUAAAUAUGUUUUGAAAUCAAAUAGUUUUAUGAGUUAAAAAGAUUAGAAAUAAUCAUUUUUUAAAUUCAUUUGGUGUUAAAUUGGGAUGAUAAAUUAUCAAAAAAAAAAAAAAAAUAUAUAUAUAUAUAUAUAUUUGACAAACAGAUUGAAAGCUAGUUCUUUUGAAAGUUUACUGAGAACACAAAUUACAAGCUCAUAGUAGUUAGUAGCUUGAUUAAGGAAACCCAUGAAGGACAAAAUGACAGUGGCAAAUGCCUUUGAGACCAAAAGGCUUCAGCUUCAAUUUUUUAUAACGUAACAUUUAAUAUCUUUCUCUUUAUGAUUUUUAAAUUAUUGUAAUUGCUAUCAACAGUAUAAAGUAUAGAAAAUUCAUUAUAUAUAAUAUUGAAUAAAAAAAAAAAAAGGGUGAGAAAUGUCAUUAUUUAUAGAAUUAAUUCACACAAACAUAAAUGCGAAGCUUCAUUCUACCUUUUAGGUGCUACCAUUCACUGAAGGGGAACGCACGCAUCAUUGAAGCUCAACGCCUGUCUUUUGCACUUUUCAAACUGAAUCAUUUCAUUCGUGAAAUAAAUUGAUGGAUAAAGGGCAAUUGCCAAACAAUAUUAACGGCAAAAACAAACGAGUCUUUUUUUUUUUUCUUUUUCUUUUCUUUUCAUUAGAAUAUUUAAAGUAUUGGUUAGAGGUAUAAUUAUAAAAUAUAAUUGAUCUCAUAAUUAAUCUUUUCCUUUUCUUAAUAAUAAUCAUUAUAGUCUUGCUUUUGGUGUUAUAGUUGUUUUUUUUUUUUAAUAAUAAAAAAAUAAUGUAUUAUGUCAAUCGAAUGUGAUCUGAUUGGUAUUUCCAUUCACCUUGAGAAGUUUCAAAUUUUAGAUAGUUAACUAUCAGAGUUAUCGUCAAUUUUGCUUAUAAAACAACAAGAGAGCUACCUAUAUUAUGCAGCCCACAAAAAUUCUUUAUAAUAAAUUAAAAAAAUAUUAUUUUAUUAAAAUUGAUAUAUUAUAUUUGUUAUUUAAUAGUUUGAACUAGAAAAAUAAGCUACUAAAAUUCACACAGAUUUUCUUAAAUAUAAAUUUUUACUAUGAAAAAUAGAAAUCAAAGUCAGAAAACAGAAAUGAUACAAAAUAGACACGUAAUCAUAUUUGAUGAGCAUUUCUCAUAAUACACGUUAGCUUGUUUAGCUUGUUUCGUGUAAAUUGAUGAUCCCAUUCUGUUUCGACAUAAAUGGUAUCAUUGGUUAUUAUAAACAAUUUCAAAAAUUUUUGAGCUACCACCAUAAAUACAACUUGUAUGAUUUCAAUUUUCAAAUUUAAAAGUUAUCUAAUAUCUACUUUAUCAAUGGACCUACACCUUUCCAAAUUUCUUGUUAAUCUUAUGCAUUAGAAAAUUUAGCCAAAUAAAAUUGAUAUUAUAUAUCAAUUUUAUUUAUUUUUCAAUUUAAAAUCACAAGUUUAAUUAUCGGAAAAUGCAUAUACUAUGAAGAAAAAAUUUUUAUAAUCAACUAUCCAAAAGAGAUUAGUUUACACCAAUAUAGUAGAAGAAAAAUAGUGGAAGAACACGUGACGAUUCUAAUAUGAUAUACAUAAACUAAAAAUAUUUUAAAGGAGUCUUCACUUAUAAUUUUGUUUUCAAAAUUUAAUACUUGUAAUUUGUUUUAACCAACUAUUUACUAUUUUUAAUUGAUUUUGUAAACUCAAAACUCCAUUUAUUUUUCAAAAAAUAAUUUAUUUUUAAAAAAUAUUUUUAAAAGCAAAACAUACUUGAAAAUUUGAAAUAACACAUUUUCUAUUGUUUGGUUACAAUAUUGAAAAAUUGUUAAAAAAUAUUAAAGCUUUUAUAAGAUCGAAAAAAUUUAUAAUUAUAAAAAGUUUCACAUUUUAAAAUUUUAUUAUUUAAUACAACAUAAAUAUUUAUUACGUGCUUGAUUGUAAUUUGUAUCUAAGACUUAAUCAUAUUUUAUGGACCAAAGAUAUAUUUUGUAUAGAAUCCAGAUAGAAAUAAGAGAUUAUAUUCCUAAAUCCUUCGCUAACUCUCAAUGAACUAGCAAUCACUCCAAAAUACUUAUUGAAUUGGUAUUUCAAAUAUUUAUCUAAUAAAGAUUCCACCUACAACUCUAAUGAAAAUUCUUUACCUCUGUAUAAAAGAGGGAUCAAACUCCCUACUCACACUAUUUAGGCAAUGUAAUACCAAUAUAUUUCAUUCAAUUAUAAGUAUUUAUUAUUUAUUUACUGACUUAAACAUAAAAGUGAUUGCAGGCCUAGAUGAGACCUUUAUUAUUCGUUUAUGUCUUGCAGAUUUCUACGGACCUCUCUUUAUUUUUCCUUGUUCAUUUAUGUCUUACAGAUUUUUACAUAGGCGCUAUGGAUAGAUUUUUCUAAGUCUAUCAUUAUUAAAUAUGAGAAACAAUAUUAUAAAAAAAGAUAAAUUACGAUAUCUAUCGAUGACCGUGGUCGUGAAAAUAAUGAUUAAUUAAUAAUAAAUAUGUAUUUAUAAGUUUAUAAUAAAUUUAUCAGUAUCUGAAAAAUAUUUUUCUCUUUUAGAAAAAGAAAGUUAUAAAAAUGAUUUAGUUCUCUCUUUCUUAAGGAAAAUAUCAUCUGUUGCUAAUUUUCUUGAACACUUCAAACAUUAAAAAAAAAUCUAAAAAAUAUUAUUCAGACAAGUUAUUUCUCGAAAUUAAUGGAAUCUCAAUAUUAAUUUAUUAUUAUUUUUUCCAUUGAGAAAAAAAUAUAUUAGAUUUAUUCCACUAUUGAGAAUAAAGGAAAUCAUUUAAAAUAAGAAAGCUCAAAAAGUUAUAGCCGUAAUACUAAUAGCAUUAUUUCAAAUUUGUUUGACAUGAUGUAAUCAACCGAAAUGAUAAUUACAUUAUAUGAGUAAUUACAUUAUUUGAUUAGACUUUUUUUAAUAGCGUAGUAUAAUUGAGACUACGUGUAUAAUCUUCAUCACUUAAAUUGAUGUAAUACUCAUUACAUGAAAAAACACACAUAUUGUCUAUUACAUCAAGUAAAUGGAAUACCGAUUAUAUUAAGUCAUCCCAAUCAAAACUCUACCAUUCUAGAUUAUUUAGGCUGUGUUGGGUAAUAAAGUUUUGAGUGGCUUUUAAAGUUUUGACUGGUCAAAACGUUACUUAAAAAGUUGUUUGGUAACAUAGCGUUUGGACUAGCUUUUAGAGAUUAGAAUAACGUUUUGUGAAAAGUUAACUCACGUAACGUUUAGCUUUUAGCGUUUCAUGAAAAACUACUCAAACAGCUAACAACUAAACACUAUUAAAAUAGCAAAUAGCUACCAAAAUAGCUAAUUUUGCCGAACAUAUCCUUAAUACUACCACUUCACCACCACAACCACUAUCACCGCUUCACCACCACAGCACCACCUUAACACCCACCACAACCACUGCCACAAUUACUACUCCACCACCACCACCACCACUACUGUUCCAUCACUACUUCAACCACCAUUACCGCUCUGCAACGACAACCAUCACCAUUGUUCUACCAUCACCACUACUACCACCAUCACUGCUCCAUCACUAUCACCUCAACUACCACCACCGCUGCUGCUGCCUCAACUCCUACCAUCAUCGCUCCACCACCACUAUCACCACCAUCGCUUUACCACCACCACCAUGUGGUGGUGAUAUGAUUAGUGGUGAUGGUGUGCUAAUUAUAUUACAUAUUUACAAAAAAAAAAAAAAAGAACGAUGAUUAUAUUCCUAAAUUUUCUUGAUAAUAUUAUCAAACAUAGUAAUGAAAUCUUAAUUAAAUUACGUUUUUCAUCACAUUACUUCUUUAAUUACAUUAUAUUGCCUUACAUCAAACCAGACAUAGCGUUAGCAUGUAUAUCCUCAUACACAUCAAAACUUGACUCUAAUAUCUAUGAGAAAAAUGCACAGUUAAGCCCUUAAAUUUAAUCAGUUUUUCCAUUAAACUUUUAUUUAUGAAUAUUAAGUUUUUAAACUUUUAUUUUUUUUAAAAAAAUUAAACUCUAUUUAACCGAGAUUUAAACUUUUAUUUUUUUAAAUUAAACUCUUAUUUAAUUAUGAGUUAAACAAUUAUAAUCCCAUAUGUUAUACGCGGUUGAUGGGAAAACUUAAUCGAAUUGUUAAAUCUCUUAAACUUUUAUUUUUUGAAAAUUAAGUUUUUAAAUUUGUACUUUUGUUAAAGUGAGUAUUUAAAUUAUUUCCAUUAUCAGUGAUUUGAAUUUAUUAUUUACUCACUAUCGAUUUAGAACUUAAUUUUAACUUAAAUAAAAAUUGAAGGAUUCAAUAUUGAUAAAUGAAAUUGCAGGAGCUUAGUAGACAAAACUUGAAAAAUAAGAGGCUUAAGUACAUCUUUUACCAAAUAUAAUCAAGAGUUAAUUUACACUCACACAUAGGUGAGGAUAGGAUUAGGAUAGAAGUGUGGUAAGUGCCCGCGAACUUUGAGUUAUCCAUAUCUAUAUCUGUUUAGAGCUUUAAAAUCAAUUGUAUCUAUGUUAAAUCCGUUUAAAUACCUAUAUCAAAAUCUGUUUAAAAUUUUACUGUCCGAUCCAUUCAAAAUCUAUUUUAAAUACUUGUAUUUGAUGUUCAUAAAAUUUAAACCAUUUAAACACGAACUUAUUUAAAAAAGUAUCUUCCAUUGAUAAUGGAUAAAGUAUCAAGGAUACUCACAGUAAAACUCAUUUAAUAUAAUGGAUAACAAGUAACGAAUAUUCAAACUCAUUUAGUAAAACUCCUGAAUUCAAACGACAGGAUUUGCAAGUGAAGAGAGAUGGAACCUAAAACGGUUGGCUAUGUACUCAAUGUAGAUUCACUAACAAAGUACAACAAAUGCAAAUACCAAGUAAAAAGGAACAAAUGGUUAAGAAUUCAGACAAAGUCCUAACUUCAAAGUUCAAAGUUCAAACCAUAAAAUCAUUUCAGUAAGGAGAAAUCAAACUAAAACUUUUGAAUGUUAAAAUUUCAACUUUAACCACAGAACCAAAACCCUGUUAGCUAUGUACUAACACAAAGUGCAAGAAACACCGAGUACGAACUCAAGCACAGUAAGAUUGAGCUGGAUUGCCCAUAACCCAAAAACACUAGAAUGUGUCUGGUGUGGAGGGGUCCAGAAGCCAACUUAAAUAGAAGCAGAGGGACAACACUGGAAAUUAUGAUUUAAAAAAAAAAAAAAAAAAAAAACUAAAAAGCAAAGAGAGAAACAGACAAGAAAUAACCGUUGUAGGGGUGGCUUUUUGGGUUGGAUGCCAGGCUGACGCUUGAGCCCCCCUCAGAUGAUUCAGCUCACAUGGUCUAUCUGUACACUCUGGGUCCCACCCUCCACUUUCUCUCUCUACUACCCUCUUUGGAUUAGUUGUCAAAUGAUCCUUUUAUGUUAUCAUAUUACACACUUUCAUCCUAUCUAUUUCAAAGUUACUAACUUUAGUUAAUGAGAUUUAAUCUGCCAAAUGCAUAAAUUAAUAUCUAAAUUUUAUAAGAAGAGUCUAGUAGCACCUUUAAACGUUGAAAACUUCUUUUCGUAAAAUUAUAGCUAGUAAAUGCCUUAAUUUAAAAAACCGUAUUUAUUAAAUACUUAAACGUAUAUAAUUAUGUUUAUUAAAUAUUUAUCGGAUGAUUUAAAAUAUAAAAAUUUUAUUAUUUAAUAAAUUAUAUUAAAAGUUAUAUAAAAUGUUACACUUAUUGAAUAUAUUAUUUAGUAAUUGUUGUAAAAUUAAAAACCCUGUUUUUUUUUUUUUCAAAUUAAGUUGAUACUUAGUCUCAACUGUGCUUUUAUCCAUAAUUUUAAAUAAUUUAUUUGUAGAAACCCUAAAAACCAUAUAUUUUUCGUUGACAUAUCAUAAAAAUUAAAAUUAUUAAUUUCAAACUGUUUAAAUACUGGUAAAAUGUAAAAUAAUGCAAAUGGUGACAGUUUUUGCAACCAACUUUUUUUCUUGGAAAUUCUCUGUAUUACAAUCGUCUUUUAUAAUAUUUUUAUUAAUAUUAUUUUGUUCCAAACAUGCCCUUGUCUUAUCCAAAUAAUGCCCCGUACUCUCCUGCCCUUCUCUCUAUUCUUAUAAGGGCAGUGGCCUGUGGAUCAAAGACCACAGUCCCAAGAGAGAAGAGAAAGACAAAGCAAUUAAGCUCACAAGAGAGAAGCUCUUCUAUUUUCUAGAGUAAGAAAGAAGAAAGAAGACGAUGGCCAAGGAAGUAAGUGAAGAAACGCAAACUACCCAUGCAAAGGAUUAUGUUGAUCCACCACCUGCGCCACUGAUCGACAUGGCUGAAAUCAAGCUCUGGUCUUUCUACAGAGCUUUAAUAGCUGAGUUCAUAGCCACUCUCCUUUUCCUUUACAUAACUGUAGCCACUGUAAUUGGCUACAAGAAACAAACUGAUCCAUGUGGUGGAGUUGGUCUUUUGGGCAUUGCAUGGGCCUUUGGUGGCAUGAUCUUUAUCCUUGUUUACUGCACUGCCGGUAUAUCUGGUAAGUAAAAAAAAAAGGAACUAUUUCUCUAAGUUACUAGUACCCAAAUGGGUAUUUAUUAAGUUUUAGGUUUCUGUGAAGUUUCUUUGUGGAUUUGGUCAUUCAACUUGAAAAAUAACAAAACCCAUUUGUUUUCAAGACCUGUUUAAUAAUGGGUUUUCCUUAUUUUGGUUACAGGUGGUCAUAUUAACCCAGCAGUGACCUUUGGGCUGUUUUUAGCAAGAAAGGUGUCACUAAUUCGAGCCUUGGCUUACAUGGUGGCUCAGUGUUUAGGUGCCAUCUGUGGUGUAGGGUUGGUCAAAGCUUUUAUGAAGAAUCCAUAUAAUCAUCUUGGUGGUGGUGCUAACUCUGUAAAUACCGGCUAUAGCAAAGGAACUGCUUUGGGUGCUGAGAUCAUCGGCACUUUUGUUCUAGUCUACACUGUUUUCUCUGCAACUGACCCCAAGAGAAGUGCACGUGACUCACACGUUCCUGUAUGUUAUCAACCAUAGCCUAGUAUAGCUCUCCUCUUUCAUGUCAAAGAGUUCAAAUCUAAACUUUGUUUUGGUUAUGUUUGGUUGCAGAUUUUGGCUCCACUUCCAAUUGGGUUUGCAGUUUUUAUGGUUCACUUGGCUACCAUACCCAUUACUGGUACUGGUAUUAACCCAGCGAGGAGCUUCGGUGCUGCUGUUAUUUACAACAAUGAUAAAGUCUGGGAUGAUCAUGUAAGCCUCUUGAUAGUCAACCAGAAACUUAUUUUUCUUGAUUUUAUGGUUGUUUUGAAGUUGGUGCUUUUUAACAUAAAACAUCAGAAGUAGGUUAAUUUUCAAGAAUAUGUUUAUCUUCUUGAUAAAAUAAUUUAAUUUCCUUUUUAAUUAUUUUUUGGAUGGGCAGUGGAUUUUCUGGGUUGGACCGUUUGUUGGAGCAAUUGCAGCAGCUGCAUACCAUCAAUACAUACUGAGAGCAGCAGCUAUCAAAGCUUUGGGAUCUUUCCGCAGCAACCCCACCAACUAAAAUGAAAGAAAGAACGAAAGAAAGAAAAACAAGAAAAAAAAAAAAAACCAAAGGCUUUGUGUAGCUAUCUUUAGUCUCUAGUCUUUCUUUUUCUCUAUUUGUUUGUUUGUUGUGUGUAAUGAGAGGAUUAUGAUGAUGACCCUUCUUUCUUCUUUCUUUUUUUACUUCAUUUUUUCUUUUCUUAUUGUUCUUUUGUAUCAUUGUUAAUGAGUAGUGCUGUUCUUUUUUCUUUCUUUUGAUCAUAUUUAAUUGCUUUGUGCAGUGUAGAACGUUCUCUCUCAACACUCUUUUAAUAAUUAGCCACUAAAUAAACUACCAGCUAACUAAAUUUUUAUCCUCUCGACCUUCAUUACAGCGGUGCUAGUGAAUUUGUGAGUAGCGGUUAGGCCAUCUUCGGGAACAGUUUUUUCAUAUGGC